rnacentral:lncRNA from 1 species
UCAUCUUGGCUCAAACACUUUGAAUAAGCUCAUCUAAUAUAUCUUUGAGAUUUUUUGCCCUUGAUCUUAUAAUUGGCCCAAUUUGAACUUGCAAUGGAUCUUUUGUUGUACUUUUGAUCGGAUCAUCUCCUCUGUUUUAAAUUUCUGAAAUCAAAGUUUGUCCUUAAAAAACUUAAAUACAAGUUAAAUAACCCUUAUGUAUAAUAGGUAAGAACUUCCUAAACAAUGCUGAAAAAAUAAUAAAAGAAUUCGAAAUAAAUAGGAAAAUGAAUCCUAAAUCAAUUAUGAAACUAUUACAUCUCCUACAUAGUAGCUUCUAGACCUUAUUUGAAGGCUUUCACAAUGUUUGAUUUCCCUCAAUUGUAUCCCAAUAUAGAAAAAAUAAACCUCUAACAACUUCUGGUAAAAUCUUAGUCUGAUCUAAUGGUCGGAUAAAAAGUAAUGCUUAUUAGAGUAAACUAUGCAUUAGGAAAAAUAAGCCUCUAACUAUAAAAUUACUUAGCCUAUGAAGUAGAUGGACCAGGCCCCUCUUAUACAUAAAUUAAAUUGAUUAAGGUUUGAUCAUCAUUUAUUGAAGAUAUAGCCUCAUUUUAAUUCAUUUUGGCCCAAUUACCAUGAAUAAGCUCAUUUAUUAAUGCAUCUUUAAGCUUCUUUACCCUUGAUCUUGUAAUUGGCCCAAUUUGAACUUGCAAUGGAUCUUUUAGUGUGGUUUUGAUUAUAUAAUCCACUUUUUCCUCAAAAUGAUUCAUCCAUGAAUAGUCAUCUACAUCAAAUAAAGAAAAAUCAUAAACAUUAAAAGUAGAAUUAACAUCAUACUCACCUGGUAUAUCCACUUUAUAAGCAUUAUCAUUAAUUCUUUCAAGGAUUUGGAAUGGUUCAUCUCCUCUUGGCAUCAACUUAUAUCUCUUUUGUUCAGGAAAUCUUUCUUUUUGGAUAUGCACUCAAACCCAAUCACUAGGUUAGAAAAAAAAAACCCUAUUCCAUCAUUUAUUAGCUUUAAAUGCAUAUUGUUCAUUCUUUUUUUAUAUAAUAGGAGUGCAAUAUACUAUUUGUUGAUAAUAAGUAAUAGAAAAUAACAAUUUUAUUUCUAAUUUUCCCCACAAAACCUUUCAAAAAUAGUUAAGAAAUUUAACAUCAUGGUCAAACACAAUGCUCUUAGGUACCUCAUGAAGCCAAACUAUUUCCCUAAAGAAUAAAUUAACUAUGUUAGUUGCAUCAUCAAUUUUAUGACAAUAUAUGAAAUGUGUUAUAUUAGAAAACUUAUCCAUAACUACAAAAAUAAAAUCUCUACCCCUUCUUAACCUAGGCAAACCUAGAUCAAAUUUCAUAUAUAUAUAUCAACCCAAAGUUUCUUAGGCACUAACAAAGGAGUAUAUAAAUUAUGAUGUAAAACUUUAGACUUAGCUUGUCUAUAUGUUAUGCAUCUAUCAUAAAUUCUUUACAUAUCAUCUUUUCAUCUUAUACCAAUAAAACUACUAAUACAAAAUAUCUAAAAUAUUAGCAAUACUUAAUGUCAUAUUAAUUCACCCUUAUGAACUUUAGGAACUACCAAUUCACGCAUAGAAUAAUUAGGCACACACAAUAUCUUUUCUUUAAAUAAAUAUUCAUCAAACCUAUAAAACUUAUCAAAGGUUGAAUGUUCACAUACAACAUAUACUUGAAAGAAAUCAACAUCCUUAAUAUAUAAAUCUCUCAUAUGCUCAAAUCCUAAUAGCGUAGUGUUUAGAGUUGAAAAAACUAGAUGCCUUCACGAUAGUGUAUCAAGCACUAUGUUUUCCUUAACUUGUUUGUACUUAACCAUGUAUCAAAACAUUUCAACUAACUCUACCCACUUGGCACACUGACGGUUUAGCUUUCCUUGGACCUUAAGAUAUUUCAAUGACUGAUUGGUAUGAAUCAUGACCUUCUUAGACCACAAGUAAUAUUGCUAGGUUUUCAAAGUUCUUACCAAAGCAUAAAGCUUCUUAUUAUAAGUAGGAUAAUUCAAUGAUGCAUCAUUGAGUGUUUUGCUAAAAUAAGCCAUGAAGCUUUUUUCUUGUAUUAAAACAGCUCCAAUACCUAUCCACGAGGCAUCACAUUUAAUCUCAAGAGUUUUUGUAAAAUCAGGCAAUGAUAACAAUGGAGUUAAAAUUAAUUUUUUCCUUUAAAAAAUUAAAAACAUGCUCUUGUUCUUUGCCACAUUUAAAACUCAAAUUUCUUAACUAUCUUAAUUAAAGGUGUGGCUAGAGUACUAAAAUCUUUAAAAAAUCUCUUAUAAAACCUAACCAAAUUAUGAAAACUUCUUACCUCAAUGAUUGAUUUAGAUGUAGGCUAGUCUUAGAUAGCUUUAACUUUUUUCACAUCCAUCUCAAUACCUUUUACACUAACAAUAUAUCAAAUAAAUACAAUCAUUUCCAUACAUUUUUUUCAUAUUAGCAUAUAAACAUUCUUUUCGCAAAACAACCUAUACAUUCCUUAAAUUUUCAACGUGCUCUCUUAAAUUCUUGCUAUAAAUCAAAAUACCAUCAGAAUAAACUACAACAAACUUACCUAUAAAAUUAUACAAAACAUGAUUCAUUAAUCUCAUUAAAGUACUGGGUGCAUUAAUAAGUCCAAAAGACAUAACUAACCACUCAUACAAACUAUAUUUCGUUUUAAAUACAGUUUUCCAUUCAUCUCCCUCUUUCAUUCUUAUUUGAUGAUAUCCAAUUUUCAAAUAUAUCUUAGACAAUAUACAAGAUCCAUGCAAUUCAUCUAACAUAUCAUCAAGUUUAGGAAUUGGGUGUCUAUAAUUUACCAUAAUAUUGUUGAUGGCAUGACAAUUAACACACAUCCUCUAAGUCCUAUUAUUUUUCAGUAUUAACAACACUAGAAUUGCAUAUGAACUCAUACUUUCUCUUAUGUACCUUUUUGUCAUCAAUUAUUUCACUUGCCUUUGAAGUUCCUUUGUCUCCUCGCGAUUACUUUUAUAGGUUGGCUGAUUAUGUAUUGAUGCUCCAGGUACAAGAUUAAUUUAGUGCUUAAUUCCCCUAAUAAGUGGUAACCCACUUGGAAUCUCAUUAAGAAAGAUGUCUUUAAAAUCCUAUAAUAAAGAAACAUAAACACCAUGAAGAUAAUGAUCAAGAUUAUCAGUGUUAAAAUAUGCUUCCUUAUACACAAGUAAAAUCAUAGGCAUGUUAGAAAAAAAAAAAACAUUUUUAAUCUCACUCCUCUUCGUAGAAAUUCCUUCUAUUUUCUCUCAUCUGAAUCCCCAAUAAUUCUUAUUUUGACUAAAUCUAACAUUUUUCUCUAUUAGCUCAUUUUAUUUUCACUCUUUCUCACAUCCUCACAUAGUUGAUAUUUUAUUUGGCUUCACUUUCUCCUUUCAAUUUCAAUUGCUCCUUAUACAUUUAUCUAGGGCAUAAUGGUACAAAUAUGAAUGUCUUCCUAUUAUUUUCAAAAGAAUACUCAUUUUUAAACCCAUCAUGAUUGAUUUUUCUAUCAAAUUUUCAAAGUCUCCCUAAUAAUAAAUGAGUAGUAUGCAUAGGCACAUCAUCAUACAACCUCAUCCUUAUAUUUUUCAACUGAAUAUAAUAGUGUUUAAUUCAACCAUUGAAGUUUGUAAGGCCUUCCAUGUUUAAUAGUGUUCAAAUUCAAUUUUCUUACAAAUAUAGUAUUAACACAACUUCCACUAUCAAUAAUUAUUUAUGUGACAUCUAAUAUAAAAUAUGUUCUCUCUUUAUUACUCUACACCAUUCUCUUUAAUUUGAACAUUAAGUGAUAUUUUAAUUAUCAAAGCCUUUCUAUCAACUAGAUACUCAACAUUACUAUAGUCCUCAAGUGGUCGUAUCUUAUCAUCCUCAGAUUGGUCACUUCCAGAUUUAAUCUCUCAUGCUUCUUUAUAACCAUAAUUCUUUUGUUUGGACAUUGUCAAGAUAUAUUUUCACUCCCCAAAUACCUAAAACACUUAAUAUAAUAUAUGAUAUCUUAACUUUACCUUUUAUUUCAAUGGUUGAAUCUUUCCUUUAAACUUUAGAUGGCUUAUUUUUGUUGCUCACAAUAUUCGGCUUUGAUGUCGUAGCCCCUUCUCUCCUAUAAUUCGACCUCCAAGCUAAAAAUAAACUUAAAUUACCUUCUUGACGUGUACUUCCCUUUCUCUUCAACUAUCUCUCUAUCUUGGUAGCCAUAUGAACCACAUUAGCUAUCUCUCCAUUUAAUUUAUUCAAAAACCUUGUCAUUGUAACUUCCCUAUCCUCCACAAUAUUAUCUCUAAUCAUGAAAAUUUAUAUUUCCUUGUAGUAAUCCUCCACUCUCUUAGAACCCUAAGACAAACUCUACAAUCUUUGAUAUAAUUCCCUAUAAUAAUAACUAGGAACAGACUUUUUUCUCAUAACUACUUUCAUCUCAUCCUAAGUCUUUAUAGGUCUCUUUUUAUUUCUUCUUCUUUUUAAGUUCAAUUGAUCCCACUAAAUAAUAGCAUGAUUAGUAAACUUAAUAACAACAAGUUUUAUUUUCUUUACAUCAAAGUAAUGGUGAUGGUAAAAAAUCAACUCCAUUUUUUCUCAUUCCAAGUAAGCUUAUGGAUUAUUUUUGUCUUGAAAAACCAGCAUCUUUAUCUUAAUAUUGCCCAAAUCUCUAUCUAAACCAUCCCAAAAUCCAUCCUCCUUAUUUGCGCUCCUAUGACUGAAUUGCUCAAAUGACAAAACUCCCAUAAAGCUUUGGUUUUUAUGAGGCCAAAACCUACCACCAUGGUAUAAUCAAAAUCCUUGGCCUUCUCAUCUAUAAUUUUUGCUAUAGAUUCUUCUAGAGGUGAAUUAGCUCGUCUCAUAAACCUUCUUCCUUCCAAUCCCUACGAUCUAGCCCAUCUAAAAAACUAGUCAUUUUGGUUCUCAAACCAAUCAUCUAACUUAUUAUUUUGAUAAACCUUGUAUUCAUCAACUCAAAUUGUUCUUGCAAGGUCAAAUAACCCAAUUUAGGAUUUUUCUAUCUUUUGGUGGUGGUGAUCCAUUUUUAGUUAACAUCGUCAAGAGUUGAAAAUUAAUUUAGUAGCGCGCGCGCACACACACACACAUCCUCGUGUGUUUACACUUCAAUAGAUGUCAUUACUCUCGUGUUUCAUACAAAUUAAGUUAGUAGAAAACUAAUAUAAUUCUCGCAUAGUAGCUUCUAAACCUUAUCACAAGGCCUUCUUGAUGUUCGAUUGCACUGAAAUCUUAACCCAAUAUAGAAAAAGACUAAUGAAAACUUUUGGUAAAUUUCAAUCCGAUCCAAUGAUUGAAUUGAAAAUUAUGCUUAUUAGAGAAGAAAUGUGUAUUAGAAAAAAUAAGCCUCUAACUACCAAAAUUAAUUAGCCUAUAAGUAGAUGGAUCAAGCCUUUUUUAUACAUAGAUUAAAUGGACUAAGAUCUGAUCAUCACUUGUUGAAGAUGUAACCGUCUUGAAAUUCAUCUGGGCUCAAAUACUCUGAAUUAGCUUAUUGAAUUAUUCUUUAAGCUUUUAUGCCCUUGAUCUUGUAAUUGGACCAAUUGAAACUUGCAAUAGAUCUUUUGGUGUAGUCUUGAUCAUAUCACCAUUAAUCUCCCACCCCAAGGGAUCAAUUCAUGAUUGUCUGACAUUUUUUGAGCUCCUGAUCACACCUUUUACCACUACAUGUUUUGAGGUAUUUCCUACCAUUUAGGGAAAUGAUUUAAUAUGAUACCAACAUUCUAUGAAGAGUGACAUGAACACAAGAAAAUGUAAGAAGUUCUGUCACUUUUAUUACGAUCACGAUCAUGACACUGAGAAAUAAAUUUCCUAAAAAAAUAUAGAAAGAUUGAUCGCUAGGAAUCACCUAUAAUAUUUUAUUAAAAAGAAAAUGAAACUCUUUGAACAAAUAAAGAAAGAUCUCUACCAUGAAUUACCUAGAUUAUAUAAUCUCCAAAAAUUGUAUCUCCACGUGAGAAAAUCUUUAGAACUUUUUGAAUAAAAGAAGUAAUGUUUCUCCAUGUCUCUAAUUGUACUUCCUUAUAUCAAAUGAAACUCUUUGGUUCUCUAGCAAACUAAAUUUACUUAUCGAAGAUUAAUUAGUUUUGUAACGUCUUUCUUAUACUUCUCAUUCGUGAAUUGGUAUUCAUAGGGUGAGGAUUCUUAUUCCAAUAGUGUUGGUGCCUUGGAAUGGUUUUCAUAGUGUCACACUCCUAUCAAACCUAUUUUGGUUUUCCAAGAUUUGUUGUCAAUUUUAUUAUGAGUUGUGUGAUCAAGUAAUUACGAGGUUCGCAUCAAAAUUAGAGAUUUUAAACUUGAUAAUUUUAACUUUCAACCAUAGACCAUAGUCAUGAUUUGCAUGUUUUUAAAGGAUUAGGUGACAUGAUUAGAAAAAAAAAGAAAAAGAACUAAACCAUUUAGAAGAAGAUGAAAAUAAGAGCUUAAAGCUCUAACCAAGAAUAUAAGAAUUUCACAUGAAACUGAGAGAAGAGAGUUAAUGAAAAAAUAAAAGAGAGUAAAUUGUGUGAGUUUUUUUCCCUCUUCUUUUUGUGAUUUAAAUAUAUUUGAUAAUAACAAUGAAAAUACAUGCUCUUACGAGUGAUAAUAAUAUUUUUAUUUUUUAAAAUAAUAUUUUUAAUUUUCUUUCUCAAGUUUCUCCUUUCUUUUUAUGUUUAUCUUUCUAUUAAGUAUUUUUUGGUUAUUAUAGCUUGAAUGAUAUAAAUUUUCUUAGCUCGGUGAGCUGACGACUAUCUCUUGACAAAACAACUAUUAUUAUUAUUCCUUAUUCAUAAUAUCUAUCUAUGUAACAUUCGAUUCAUUCUAUUUUCUUUAUCAUGAUAUAGUUAAUUAAAAGUACUUAUAUAAGAGCUUUUUUUUUUUAAGCAAGUAAGCUAGUAGCUUAGCUCGAAAUAGUAUGGCAAGGAGUCAACUAUAGAGAGAACAUUUCUGAUUCAAAUCUUAAACUAAAUAUUUACAAUACUAACUAAAAAUGUGAUAAUUAAAUUAAAUUACAUGCAAGUUUGUAAAUCAAAAUAAAGUUAAACUUACAAUUGAGUUAAAAUAAUUUCUUCGUAUGCGGUAUGUGUGUAGUGAAGUUGUAAUUGAAUCAAUAAUACAUACAAAACAAAAUAUUAUACUUAAAAUAUAAAUCAUUAAACUAAAACCAAUGUAGAUAUAAUGCAUUUAAUUAUCCUAGAAAUUUGAACAAAAAAAGAAAAAUGUUAUUGUCAAUUAUUAAUGCAAAUAAUCUUAUUGUAAGUAGUUUUUCAGGGUUUCAACAACUUAUCUUUUAAACAAUGCACUUUGUUUAAAAGUCUAAGAAUUAAGAGAAUAAUUAAAUUAAAUAUCUUUUUUUAUAAAAUACCAUAACCUAAGCUCAAGAACAAAAAAGAAAAAGAAAAAAAAAAACUAAGCAAAACCAGUGACAAAGAAAGCUGGAAACAUAGAGGAAAAAAAGCUGCUGCAAAUUAUGAAGAACACCUCUUCAUCCCUUAUUUAUACUAGAAACUUGAACCAAAAUUGAUGUACACCAUAAUUAAUUCCCGUUGUUUACCGGCCAUAAAAAAUAACUUGAUAGCCUUUUGCCUUUAAAAAUAUAACUAUUCAAAUGGAGGAAAAUAAUUGUUCAAGCAAUUUGUUAAUGGGUUGGCUUAAAAAAACACUUUAUGGGUUUGAAAAAGUUUUUCAGCUCGCAGCUAUAAGACUCCUAUCAAGUCCAGCGAGCAAGUAUAUACUGUUUAAGUUUAAAAUCCAUUUAACCUAUGAAUUAUGCAAAUUUAAUUUUAACUCUUCAAUUUUUACUAUAUAACCUACAAAAUAUUUCAACUAAAAAAGCAUUAAAAUUAGUUUUUAUUUACUUACAAUUUGUUUUUAAAAAGUUAAUAAUCUGUGUUAAUGUAUAAUUUACAACAAAAUCUUAAUUCAAAAAAUGAGUGGACUUAAUUUUUAAUAUGGUAUUAAAUGUACCUAUUAAUCAUAUUUUUUAGAAUAAAAUUUUAACAUUUCCUUCUUUUCUUUUCUUAAUUCAGCUAUUAGUUUGGAAAAACAAAAAAUACAUGCCACGUGUCACAAUUAUAAGGGCACACAAGGAAUCACGUGGCUGCACGCGCAGAUUAUGUUGUCAUACAGACGAAAAACGAAAAUACGCUUGGAACCUAAAUCACAUUAAAAAAAAAAAAAAAAAAAGAAGUUGUUGAUCAGUUAAUAGCAAAGGACAUAUGUUAUCGAGUUUGUCUGUCUGUCCCAGCGAAUGUCCCUCUCGCGGAAGCUGUCAAAGGAAAGCAGUUGUUGCUGGCAUUCUCAUUUCAAGGGCCAUUUUACGGGCAUGCAACCUCAGUCGCUCAAGGCCCAACCUUGCUACACCAUAAUUCUCCCUCUUUCUAUGCAUUUCAAUGUAACUAAACCCGUUUAUUUACAGGAAAUUAGUUUUUUUUUAGAAAAUAAAUUCUAGAAAAGUGAAUUUCAGAAAAGUAUUUUUAAUAUUUAGUAGUAUAAUAGAAAAUAAACUGGAAAAUACUUUCCAGUGUUUGGUUAUGUUAUGGAAAAUGAACUGGAAAAUAAUUUAUUAAUGAAUUAAUUUUUUUUAAAUUUAUCUAAUAUAUGAAAAAUAUUAAAUAUAAAUAUUUAAUCACUUACAAUAAAAGAAUAAAAUCUAAAAAGUGUAAUGAUGAAUUUUUUUAUUAUAUUUUAUAUUCAUAUAUAGCUUAUUUUAUAAAAUAUAACUAUAUAUGUCAUAUAAUAUUAUAGAGAUAUAACCUUGUGAAAUUUUUCAUAAAUAAAACCUAUAAAUUUUUUUUUUCAAUUUUAAAAGCUUAAAAUAUGUUUUUUUUCAUAUGAAGAAAGCCAAAUUAGUUUAUGGUUUUAAGAUUUUUUUAACCAAGUAAGAGUUAGAUAUUUGGGUUUUUUGGUAUGAAGAUUUUUUAAAAAGAUAAAUAAAUACAAAAAUAUUUUGAUAGAUUUUUUGGAUAAAGAUUGUUUUUUUUUUUUACGGGUAUAGGCAAUUAUCCCUGUAAUAUCCCUUUAAUAUAUAUCAAAGAAGCAUUAAGAAAUAAAUAUGAAUAUCUUACAUCAAACAUAGUCUUGCAUAAAUAUUAAGUUUAAUUUAAUACUAAUACAUAUUAGUUCAAAUUAACAAACAUAAACAUGCUAGACCGAAUUAAACAAGUAAACAUACUUGUCAAAUAACAAACAUAAACUUUCUUAUCAUAGUGAAAUCAUCUUAGUAAUCAGGCCUAUAGCUGCGUUGGUUCAUAAAAUUCUGAACCCAAAUUUUUCUCAAAUUAGCAUUUUUUACCAUAAAUGCUUUUGCCAACAUUUCAUGUUGGACCAAGUGAUCAAAUGCAUCCCCAAGCGUGAUCUCAUCAAAGCCUUCAAUUUUCAUCACUUCUGUAUAUAGCUCAUUAACAUCAAGUUGAUUUUUGCUGAGGCUUUGGAUUGCAAAUGCUACAUCUCCCAUCUUUUUAGACAACUUUUCAACACUAUCAUCUUCAUACAUGCGAUUUCUCUUCCUAUGUUGCCUCUUUUGUGCACUAGAGAAAGAUGUCUCUUUUCCUUUUGAAGUUUCUUCAUAUUCCCCUUCAUUUUCAAUUGAAAUUGAUUGCUCUUCAGUGUUCUCUUCCAAGUUGACAUCAACAUAUGAUUUGGAAUAAUUUCCGGUUGCCAUAUCUUUUCCAACAACAAUUGUCAUUGCCUCGUACAUGUCAAGUUUUUUGUUGAGAUACUUGUCAUGAUUGGGAUGUGCCUGUUCAUAAAGUUUAGAAUACGAAAUUUUUUAGUUCCUUGUGUAACAUUUUGGAAACAAAAGUAAAUAUAAAAAUUAUGAAGAGUAUAAUAUUUAUCAUACCUUCACUUCUUCAUCAUAAACAUCAUUCGAAAUUGUAAUCAUCUUCAAACAAUCAUCCCAACCAAAGCCACUUUUAUUUUUAAGCUUGGUUAAUAUUCCCCAUUCUUUUUUCACAGUUUUGAGAUGAUUGUCAACAUGCUUAGGCUCGCAUUGAACGUUGAACUUUUGACUAAUUUUGGUAGCCACCUUAAUAAAAGAUUCUGCUCUAAAGGUGGAAGAAGGUUUGUUUCCUUUAAGUGCCUCCUCAGCUAAUAUCUCAAGUAUCAUGUGAGACAUAGGCUUAGACCAUGUAAAGUGUUUGCCCUUGCAUUUUUCAUUAUGAGUGGUACUUAUUUCUACAAAAAAAAAAGGUUACAAAUUUAUACAAAAUAUAAUCAUACAAUAUUUAGAUUUAAUAAAUUAAAUAUAAAAACUACAAUUAAUAUUUAAAAGAGAAUACAUAAAAUACAUAAGAAAUUAUAAUAAAGUCAACAAACAAUCCAAAUACAUAACAAAGAUAAUACAAACUCAAGCAAGACAUAAUAAAAACAAACAUAUAUAAUUAACACUCAAUUACUAGUUUCUUUGAGUGUUAUAAUCAUUCCACAUGGUUGAUGCAAUCAUUUCUCUUUUUGUUAUCCACUCUCUAUUCUCUUCCCUCUCCUCCCGUUGACUUAAGUUGAUUGUUCGUCUAAUUGGUUCACUUUCCGAACAUAUUUCUUCCAUAAGAAAGUCAUUUGAAUCAACUCCCAUAAUGUGAUUAUGAAUAAUACAACAUGCAAGCACAACAUCUACUUGUGUUUCAUAAGACCAAAAAGACUUUCCAUCAAUUGAUCUAAAACGACUCUUCAAAAUACCAAACCCUCGCUCAAUAGCAGUUCUCAAAGAAGAGUGUCGAAGAUUAAAUAGCUCCUUUUUAUUUUCUGAUGAAUGUUCUGUAAACUCAUUCAAGUGAUAUCGAACUCCACGAAAAGGAGAAAUGAUUCCUUUUCGAAUACCAUAACCAGCAUCACCAAGAUAAUAUUUCCCUACAAAUUAGAAAAAAAAACCUAUUACUAUCUUUAGCUAAUUAAACAUUUUAUAUGUUUAUUGCAUAUAAUAAAUACUUUAUUAUAUACCUUCUGGAAUUUUUAGACCACUAGGUCUUGAUAAUGCAUCAUCUAAAACCCGUGAAUCAUGUGCACUUCCUUCCCAGCCAGCUAAAACAUAUAUAAACUUCAAAUCAAAAGUUAUAGCUGCUAAAACAUUUUGUGUUGUUCCUUCUUUUCGACCUCGAAACUUUCCUUGAAUCUCAACAGGAACAUUUGCAGGAACAUGGGUACCAUCAAUUGCUCCCACGCAAUCCUAUAUAAACAUGAAAAAAUAAUUUAUAACCUUUUCUUCUAGAUGUAAUUAAUUAAUGUAUAAAAAUAUUGGUAUUGUUCUCAUACCUUAAAAUAAGGAUAGAAUCUUCGAUUAUUCAAUAUCUCUGCGGGAACUGUAUCGCCCGGGUCUUUAAUUAGGUGUUUGUAUAACUUAAGAACUGCUUUUAAAACAAUUCUAAAGUAACGAUGGAUAGUUUCAACAGACCUAUAGUAUAUACCACUAAUAAAACGAAAUCUUUGGUUUUGGCCUAUAAUUUGUAAGAACACAAUUACUUGCUCCCUAAUAGACACAUUUUGAGUUGAUCUUAAUAAGUCAUGACUUGUGAGAACAUCACACAAUUUAUAUGAGACAACUGGUUUCAUACGAAUUUGUUCAACGCAAUGUCUAUCACCUCGAUUCAAAAUGCUAUCUAUAUAGAAUUCUCGUUGAGCAAUUGCAUUUAUACGUGGUUCUCUUGGUAUAUAAUUUCUAUUUCUUUCUUGUUCAAUAAUAGCUACCCCUGUCGCUAUCACAGUUACAGCUGCUCUCAUACAUGCUGCAUGAAUAAUCUUACUAUCCAUAACAAAAAAGUGAAGUUUUCUGCUAACAAAACCUAAAAAUUUAGGGAAAUAAACAUUAAAAAAGCAUAUAAAAUACUUACAUAAUCAAUAUAAUAAAUUAUGCUCAAAGAAGCUGAUUCCCAACACAAACAAUGCCUUAAAAGAAAUAAUUAUAUAAUGAAUUAUGUAUCCCAAAACAAAAAAUAUAAUAAUUUAUUAAUGAAUUUUGUAUAUAAAUAUUUAAUAGACUCAAGUUUUUUACCCAAGCCAAAUCAGUUUUUUAUAACUGUGUAAUAUUUCUACCCAACAUCAACGCACAUAAUAUUUCACUAUCUAAAAUAUUUCUACCCAAACCAAUUCCCAUUUCACUACUAUGCAGCAUCAUCAACCGUUGAUUACUGUCCUAACCAUAUACUCUUCACUUAUCAAGCUUGGAACCCACAUCUCCACCCGACUUAACCACUGUCUAAUAUUUCUACCCAAACCAAUUCCCAUUUCACUACUGUGAAGCAUCAUCAACCGUUGAUUACUGUCCUAACCAUAUACUCUUCACUUAUCAAGCUUGGAACCCAUAUCUCCACCCGGCUUAACCACUGUCUAAUAUUUCUACCUAACAACAACGGGUAUAAUAUUUCACAGUCAAGAUUUAGCCAAACCAAUUCCCCUUUCAUCAUCAGCAUCAUCAACGCACACAUCACUGCGCAUCAUCAUCAACACACACACACACAUCACGCCUAGAAAGCACAGGAAACGCACAAAGCACAGAAAACACAUAUCAUCAACUCAUCAACAGAGAAGGAAAAUCACAUCGGGUGGGUCGGGUUCUACUGGAAGAGAAGCAAUCGAAGAAAAGGAGAUGAAGAUGAAGAGAUGGAGGGGAAUUGAAAGCAUAUGUGUUCGAUUAAACAAAAAGAGAAACAGAGCAUGGGUUUGCUGUGUUUUUUUCACAAAAACCAAACAAAAUGUUUUGUUUGGUUUCUGUAAAAUAAAACACAGUAAACCCGAUUUCUGUGAAAAAAGCAUAGAAUGGGAAAAAUGGGUAUGGGUUGCUGUGUAUGGGUUUGCUGUGUUUGGUUUCUGUGAAAAAUGCAGGGGUUUUGGUUUUUUGUGUAUGGGUUGCCCAGCGAAGAGGUGGAUCGGCAGGGAAGGAAACGGGGCUGAAGGGUGCCUUCGGCUUAACGAAAGAAUGGGUUUCUUUGAGUUUGCUGUGAUAGCAACAGUGGCGAAAUGAAGGAAUGGUUUCGUUUUUUGUGUAUGGGUCUCUGUUUGGUUUCUGGGAAAAAUUUUGGGUUUGCUGUGGUUGAUUUUUCCCAGGGGUUUGGGUUUGUUGUAUGGGUUUCCUUCCCACGGGUUUGGGUUUACACAGAGCAUGGGAGCAUGGGUUGCAGUAAAAUUAACAAGAUAAACAAGGAAAAAAACACAGCAAAUAUAUCACAAGACAUGCCAUUAUAACUGUUGUUAUCCAUUUUUGGGUUCCCCACAAAAAAAUGAAAAAAAUACAAAACAAUACACAUAAAAAAAUAUAUUCGGAAGAAAAAAAAAAUAAGAGUGAGAAAAGGAUGCUGGAACUACCAUAAAAUGGCUAGGAAUUGGUUGAGGAAGUUCAGAAAUACAAGAAUUGAAAUUUAACAGUAAGAACCCUGUUGAUAAGGAAAAUUCAAUUUGAGGAAGAAAAGUCCAAAAUCAAAUGUUUAUGGACUCAAUUAAAUUUUAUCCAAGGUUUAAAUGAAUUUAUGGAGGGUUUGAUUGCAAGAAAAUUGAUUUCUUAUGUCAAUUUAAGCUUUUAUUGGAAGAAAUUAAAGUUCUGGGGUCCAAUUAUAAUUUAAAGAGUUGAUUUGGUCAAAUUAGGGGCUUAAUUGCAUAAUUAUUGAAGUUUGAUGGUCAAUUAGGGACUUAAUUGAAACAAUCUGAAACCAAGGACCAAACCAGAAAAACGCUAAGAUCAAGGGAUCCAAUUACAAUUCAUUCGGGGGCUUGAUUGCAAAAUUAUAAAAACAUACAAGGACAUUCAUUUGAAUUUUGAAACGGCGCCGUUUCAUUAAAAGCAAUAUUCGUUGUCUCCCUCAAGAAGCCGUUUUCAGCAGUAAAGAAACAGAGAUACGGUUUGCAGCAAAAACGCCAAAUUGCUCCAAUCUUGGGGCACAUUUUAUGGCUGCUAUCCCGUUGUUUCCAGAUUACAAGGCGACCGUUACCACUUACCAGCACAAGGCCGUCUCUGGCCUAUAAAAGCAGGAAGAACAGACAGUGAGUGGAGCAGGACAGUGUAAGAGAGGAAAGAAAACCGAGAGAGGGAGAACGUGAGAAAAAGAGGGAGGAGGAGAGGUUACAGUGAGGAGAAAACAGGGGGAAAAACAGAAGCGGAGAGAGGGAACGAAAGAGACAGGAAACAGAGGGAGAGAAGGAGAGAAAAAAAGAGAGAGACGAGACGUGAGGAAGAACUGGGCAACACAGGGAGACGGAAACAGAGGAGAGGGACUGUAUAAUCUCCUUCAAAACUCCAGCGUUCCGGAAGCAAACUCAGACGAACUGUGAAGAAAAAAUUAUACCAGUAGCUAGGGAAAGCAAAAGAAAAGAAAGAAUUAACUAGAGGAAAAGCCAACGAAAAGGGGAAGAGAGCAGUCCAAAGUACGCCAUUGUCUUCGUCCUGCUUCCAGAGGAAGCACAGAGGAACAAAAAUAAACCGAAGAAGCAAAAGGAGAAGACAGUGGAGCAACACACGGGCAGAGAAUAAAAAAGGAAAACUCAGAGAAAGGAUAGAGACACGAACAGAGGACCAACAACAUACCAGUGCAUUCGGCUUCGUCUCCAGGUGAGUCCUUUCUUCUCUCUAAUUAACAUGCUACAGUAGCUGUGAAUUCACAUGCUACUGUAGCUGUGAAUUAUAAUUCACUUCUCAGCCGGGUCACUGGUUUGAACCAGUGACCAGGUUGGGCUGGCUGGGUCCAGCCCAACCACACAAAAAAAAAAUGAUAAUAAAAUAAAAUAAAAAUAAAAUUUUUUUUUCAAAAAAAUUUAUUAUUUCAAAAAAAUAUGUGAUUUUCCCGAGUACUUUUCUAAUGAAUUUUGCUUAGUAUUGGUUUGUAUUUUUAUACCGUAAAGAUACAAAUUCGGUAUUAAAAGUUUUUGUUUUCAUGCAUACGGCCAAGUCUCUCUAAAAAAAAAAAUCAUAUUGUAUCUUCAUAAAAAAAAAAGGGUUUUAGCAUGCAUUUUGGCUUUAAUAACCAGUUUAUUAAAGUCACGAGGACUAGGCCAAUAUUUCAAAAAUUCCAAAUUUUUUUUUUGUUUUCUUUUAGUAUCUGGGUUUGCGACCUUAUACGUAAUACGUAUUCCGAAUAUUAAAUUCCUUUGUUGACGUCAGAACAGUUAGGUUUUAUCCGAUAAGAUAAGGAUCUCCUUACCGAGGAGAACUUUUCUUAAAUCACAGACGGACCAACAACUAGAAAACACGACAAGACUUUGGAUUUUAUCAGACAAUAAAACAAUGCAGCUUACCUUAGGUAGGGCGUAUUUGGGGUGCUAAUACCUUCCCUUUACGCAACCAGUCCCCGUACCCGAUCUCUAAGACCAGUUAGGGUUCCUAGUGACCAAAAUACUAGGUGGCGACUCCCAUUCCAUUUUUCCAUUAAUAAAAGACAAGAAUUCCUUGUCUCCCCACAUUUUCCGCAUUAGAUACAUUACUUGAUUUUGAGGGUGGAUGUUUUCGCCGCGACGCCACACACGUGCGACAAUAACAACAGAAAAAUAAAAAAAAGAUGAAAAACAUAUAAGAUAAUAAAUAGACAUUUGAGGAAAAAAAUUUACCUGGAAGAAAGCUGUGAGAGAUGCUUCCAAUUGAUCUGUGUAAAUUAUUUGGGAGAGAAAGAGAGUUUAGGGAUUUGUAUUUUAGGAUAGUGCACGUUUUGUUAAAGAGAAAGGAAAACACUUUCCUGACAUAAAGCCUUUUGUUUUCCUUUGACCAGAAUUGAGUUUCCUUUGACCAAUUGUUUUUAUGUUCACCAAACAUGGAAAAGUGGGGAAAAUGGUUUCCAGGAAUUCAUUUUCCUGGAAACAAACAUGGCAUAAGGUGAGCAAAAUUAACAAAAACUUUUUUUUAUUCACAAUCAACUGUACCAAUGUUUUAGUUUUUUUAUUUGUUUUUUUUUUUUAAUUUAGUUUUUGAAUUCUAUCAUUUAAUAUGUUGAUUAGAAAUUAGAUUUUAUAAUUUAUUUUAAUUUUUUUUUUUACAGUUAUCUUAAUCUCAUAACUUAGGUAUAAUUUUGAUUGAUUAAUCGGAUUGACUCAGGUCAUUUUUUUCUCUUUUUUAAGUGAUUUUUUUAAAAUUUUAUUCCUCAGCAUUAAGUUAAUUGAGAAUUUAGCUUCAUAAUUUAUUUUGAUUUUUUUUUUAUAAGGUUAUUAAGAUCUGAUAACCUGGAUUAUAAAUUUGAAAAAUUAACAUGGGUUGAUCAGAAUUGAUAUAAUAAGUUGUUCUCUUAAUAUUUUUUUUAAAAAAUAUUCUUUCUUGAAAAUUUUUUUAAUCAAAUUAUAUUUUUAUUAAUCAUUCAGAUUGUUUUUAGAUCAAAUUCAUCAAAUUAACUGGAUGAUAUAGAAUCAACCUCCAUACAAUUUAAUUUUUUCUAUUAGAAAAGACAUCUUGUUUAUGUUGUUUUAAAAGAUUAAUCCAACUCAUACUAUAAUACAUGCCAAUAAUUUAGUUCUGCACUAUUUCUAAAUGUAUACCUUAGUCAUGCUGAGUUGUAAUAUAUAUAUAUAUAUUAAAACUUAUGGGAAAAACACUAUGCAUUUACUGUGGACAUAAACUCAUUAUACUAUGAACCACACUAUAGACAUAGAGUGUUUGCGUUGUGGCCGAUACUGUAGCUUCAUGGGGGCGUUGUCUUUUCUGUAUUUAGUCAAAAAUUGUUGUUGGGUCUGACUGCUAAGGAAAAUAUUUUCAACAAAUCGGUUACCUUUGACACGUGGUUGGCUACACCAAUUAAAGCUAGUGGGUUCACCUUUGACCCGUGACACAUUGGUGAGAUGACCUGCAAGCAAUGAAUGCUGAUGGUUCGACUAUAAAGCUUCCAUAAAUAAUUGCUUUUUAUCUGGGUUGUUGGGUCCUCUUGCUCACCAAGACCUAAUAGUGCUGGGUCUUACCGCCAGCAAGACCAUAUAAUAUUGGGUUCUGCUAGGCAACCAGACCCAAUAACCAUUUGAAAUAAGAGAAUAAAAGCUUUUGAAAAAUAUCUUAUAUUAGUUGUAAGAACAAUCUUCAUAUGAAAGAUUAAAAAAAAAAAGAAGUUCCUUACCUUAAAAGGAUAUAAUCGGAUAUCUCUUUUAAUUGUCUUUAAAGAAGAAAGAUGAAAAUGAAACUUUCUUCUCUUCUUUAUAAUAUGAAAUUUCUUUUUCCUAUGUUAAAUUAGUUGUCAUAACCCCCUAGAUCCCUUACUUAGCACCAUUUAGUACGUGUAAUAAAUUCUCAAAUAUUUUCAAUUUCAUAUUUUUUCUCUUUAAUUUUUUUUCUUUUAUCUUUUAUAAUUUUUUUUCCUAGUGUAUAGAAAAAAUAAAUUGAUGAAACUUUUUUAUUUUGUACAAAAGUUGGGUAAUGAUAAUUUUUUUUUCAUUUGAGAUUGGGUUGAAUUUUUUUUAUUAAAACAUGUUUGUUUUAGCGUUUUAAAAAUGUUUUAAAAAAAUUUGAUAAUUUUUUAUUUUUUUCAUUACUUCAAAUUAAAUUUUUUUAUGUAUUUGUAUUAUUUUGAUGUGAUGAUAUAAAAUAUCAGUUUAAAAAAAAAAACAAAAAAAACUAUCUCAAUAUAUUUUUUUAAAAAAUAACAAUGUUUUUUUAUCUGGCUUCAACAGCAAGACCAAAUGCUUGGGUCUGGUUGCGGAUCCAGAACACAAUCUUGGGUCUGGCGAUCGAGCCGGAUCCAAUAGAAUUGGGUUUGGCUGUGGAGCCACACCCAAUUGCAUAGGUUGUUUUUGCGGAGCAAGUUGGGUCUGGUUGGGCAGCUAGACCCAAGGAUAUUGGGUCUCGCUUUGCAGGCAGACCCAAUUUUUGUUUUCUAGUCAAAAAGUGUCGUUGGGUAGUUGGGUCCUGCUGGGCAGACAAAUCCAAUAGUGUUGGGUCUUGCUACGAGUCGGACCCAAUACUUUAAUUUUUUUUUUCUUAUUUAAUUUAUUUUUCAUACUAUAAAGAGGAAAUAAAUUGAUGAGACUUUUUUUAUAUUGUACAAAAGUUGGGUGAUGAUAUUUUUUUUUUAUUUGAGGUUGGGUUGAAUUUUCUUAUUAAAGCAUAUUUGUUGUUGCAUUUCAAAAAUGCUUUAAAAAAAGUUUGAAAUUUUUUUAUUUUUUUCUUUAAUUCAAAUUAAUUUUUUUUUAUGUUUUUGUAUUAUAUUGAUGUGGUGACACAAAAUAUCAGUUUUAAAAAAUUAAAAAAAUAUUAUAUCAAUAUAUUUUUUAAAAAAUAUAUUUUAAAAAAUAAUCGUUACGUAAUAAUAUAAUAACUAGCAUAGUGGCCUGUGCUUCGCAGUGGGUCAAUAAUAAUAAUUUUUUUAGAUGUAAAAAUUCUUGAGUUGGGUUAAAAGCACAAAAUGUAUUUGCAUCAUCAUCAUCUUCAAAUAAAGUAUUUUCUACAAUAGCACCAUGAAUACCGUAUAGUAUAGCAAUGCUCAAUACAUCAACAACUAAUUUCUUUCCCUGUAAUUUUUUUUUAAGAUAUUUCCAAUUUUAUGUUUUUUCCUCUUUCAAUUUGUUUUGUUCUCUUAUUUAAUUUUUUUCAUACUAUAAAGAGAAAAUAAAUAAAUUGAUGAGACUUUUUUUUAUAAUGUACAAAAGUUGGGCGAUGAUAUUUUUUUUCAUUUGAGGUUGGGCUGAAUUUAAUCAUUACAACAUGUUUGUUUCUGCAUUUCAAAAAUUAAAAAAAAAUCAAAAAUUUUUUAUUGUUUUUCUUUACUUCAAAUUAAUAUUUUUUUUUCCUAUGUAAUUUGAGGUUGAGUUGGAUUUCCUUAUGUAAUUUUUUUUUAUUGAUUGAACUUUUUUUAUAUUGUACAAAAGUUAGGUGAUGAUAAUUGUUUUUCAUUUGAGGUUGAGUUAAAUUUUCUUAUUAAAGCAUGUUUGUUUCUGUGUUUCAAAUAUACUUUAAAAAAAUUUGAAUUUUUUUUCUUUAAUUCAAAUUAAUAUAUUUUUUAAAUUUUUUGUAUUAUUUUGAUGUGAUUGAAAGUGGUGUAGAUCCCUGAAAUUAUACCUUUGGGUCCGCCUACCCAGUAGGUUUUAAUACCUUUGGGUCCAGUUGCCUAACAGGACUCAAUAGCGUUGGGUCUGACUGUCAGCCCAACCCAACAACUAUUGGAAGACCACUUAGGUCUGGUUGCCCAACUACACAAUAGCAUUGGGUCUGGCUACCCAGUAGGACCUAGUAGCUUUUGGAAGAAAACUUGGUUUCGGCUGGGCAGCCCGACCCAAUAGCUUUGGGUUGGGCUGCCCAGCAUGAUCCAAUGCUAUUGGAUGUGGCUGCGUAGCAGGACCCACUAGCUUUGGAUCUGGCUUUCCACCAAGACCUAAUAGCUUUUGGAAGAAAACCUGGGUCCGUUUUCCCAGCCAGACCCAAUAACUUUGGGUCGGGCUGCCCAGUAGGACCCAAUAGCAUUUGGUCCGGCAGCCCAACAUGACUCAACACUAUUGGGUCUGGCCGCCCUACAAGACCCAACGCUAUUGGGUCCGGUCGCCCUAUAAGACCCAAUAGCUUUGAGCUCGACUGCCUAGAAUGACCCAAUAGUAUUUGGUCUGGCUGCUCAGCAUGACCCAACGCUAUUGGGUCUGGUUACCUUGCAGGCCCAAUGCUAUUGAGUGCGGUUGCCCAACAGGACCUAAUAUCUUUGGGUCUGGCUGCCCAGCAGGACCCACUAGCUUUAGCUCUAGCUUCCUACCAGGACUUCAUAGCUUUUGGAAGAAAACUUAGGUCCGUUUGCCCAGCGAGACCAAAUAGCUUUAGGUUCGGCUACCUACCAGGACCCAAUAGCUUUUGAAAGAAAACUUGGGUCAGCUGGACCCAAUACCAUUUGGUCCGGCAGCCCAACAUGACCCAACGCUAUUGGGUCCGACCACCCAACAGGACCCAAUACCAAAGCUCUUAGGACUGAUUUUGCUGUCAAACCCAAUGCUAUUGAGUAAUUAUUUACAACCAAACUCAAGGCUAUUUGGGGUCUGGAUUAGACGCCAGACCCAAGGCUCUUGAGUCCGAUUUGACUAUCAGAUCCAAGACACUUAAAAUAUUCUCUAUACUUUUUUUUUUUACAUUUAAAAAAAAUUGUUAUUGGAGAUAUCCUAUCAUCCUGGUAUAUUUUCAUUAAAUCAAUUUUUAUACUAGUACUUCCUGAAUGUAAAAAUAAAUGUUAGAAAAUUUGCUAAAAUCAUUGUUAAUGGACAAUUUUAAGGCCAAAUUAAAAACAUUGAACACUUAUUUUUAGAAUUAAAACUUUAUUAGAAAUUAUUAUUUAACAAAAAUAUUUUCAUAUAAAACAUUAACAUAAUUAAAAACAAUUAUGGGUGAAUGAGAAAUUAAUUUUUAGGAAUCUUUGGUUGACAUGUUUUGUAAAACCCAAAACCCUAUAUUUCAAUACUAAAAGAAUACAAGAUUUUCUUGUAACUUAUGUAUUGGGAAGUUAAGCUUGUAAGGCUCCAAAGCUUUUAGACAGAAGAAACCUUAGGUGAAGUGGGCUUUUGACUUAAGUCAAACGCGCUUGCUCGCUCAACUCGGCAUGAGCUUCACAUCUUGGGCUUGAUUUUGGAUUUGAGUUUGCUAUGAAAUACUUUUUAGGCCUACAAAGGUUAUUUUUUGCCCAACUCAUGAAUAAACAAUCUUUUUCUUUAACUUGAAUAGUUUUUUAUUUAAACAAAAAAAAAAAAGAUAAGAUUUUAAAGAAAAAAAUUAUUAGGUUGAUUUUAUUUUAAUGACAAGUAAUUAAGAUUCAUAAGUGGCAAGAAUAAAUUCUGGUAAGUACGAUACCAUAAUUAAUUCUAUAUUAGUUUUGGUUCCAAAAUCCACUAUAAAAAGGGGUCGAAGAAAAAGUGUUUCACCUAGAUUUUUAGACUCUUCUUCAUUUCAUUUUUUCCAAAUUACUUUCCUUAAGUUUAUUAUUUGGUUUUUCCUUCUACUUUAGAGCUUAGAAUGUUAUGCUAUUGGAGUUUUAGAAGGCUUAUUGUAAUAAUUUUGUUUAUAUUAAGUGACGAGCAAUAGAGCUUUAAGAAAAAAAUGAUUGAUUCUUAACAAUAAUAAAUCUUUAUCUUAAUUUCAUUUUAAGUGCUUCAGUAAGUAUACUUAACAAUCUAGUUUAAAAAUUGUUUAUGCAAUUUUGUUCAAGCAUGUUUCUUAUGUUUUAAAGCUUUAGUUUGAUCUUAUGAUUACAAAAUUAUUCUGCAAACUUAUUUUUAUGUUAGAAUACAUUUAGUUCAUGUAUAAUUAUACAUUUUAUAAUUUGAAUUCUAGAAAUACAACCAAUAUAGUCUUUCAAUCUUCAUAUUGCUUAGUUCUAUGCUAUUUUUUAAAAUAGUAACAUAAUCAAUGUCUGGCAUGGUGAUUGAGACUUUCUAAAUUAAAGAUAAAAUUAAAAAAAAUAGAGUCAACACCUGAUACUUAAAAGAAACUAGGAGUCCUAAAAUAAACACUGAUUUUAGAAAUUCAGGUAAGAGGUGAGCUAUGUUUAUAGGAAGAUUACUUUCAAAUAAAAGACAUCACCAUUACCACAUCCUUUCAAAUAAAAGAUUACUUUAUGUGUUCUCUCUAAAUUUAUCCUUUAUCUUAUUCGCAAUCUAUUUUAGUUUAUUUUAAAAAUGAUAUCGAUCCAUAAAAAUAACAGACUCAUCAAUAAAUUUAACAGUAAUCCCUAAAAGUAUGAGAUUUCAUCAAUCUUGGCCUUUUAACAAAAAACAAUUGAUGUUAAUCCCUACAAAUAUGAGAUUUGGUCGAUUUUAAAUUCUUAAUGAAAUUUUUUUAUUUUAAUCCCUAAAUAAGAGAUUUUAUCGAUAUGGGAUUUUAAGCAAAAAAAUAUUAAUGUUAAUCCCUAAAAUAAAAGAUUUGUCAAUUUAGGAUUUUUUUUUGAAACAAUGGUGACAUUUAUCUCUACAAAUAAGAGAUUUCAUUGUUUUGGGAUUUAAACAAAAAAUCUUGACAUUAACUUAUAAAUAAGAGAUCUCAUCAAUUUAUGAUUUGUUUUUUUAAAACAAUUCUUAUGUUAAUCCUAAUAAUAGUAGAUUUUGUCGAUUUGGGAUUUGAACCAAAAUAUUUUUUUAUGUUAAUCCAUAAAAUAAAAGAUUUCAUCAAUUUAUGAUUUCUGUUGCGAUGUCGCGGUCGCACAAAUUAAUUACCCUAACUUCAAACACAACACACAAGAUAGUAUAGAGCAAGCAAGGGGUCGAUCCCACGAGGAAGUUUCAAGUCAGAUUUUUAUGUUGUACGUUAUGUAAUUGGGGGGAUUUGGUUUUUGAUUAUCUAAACUAUGGUAGCAAUUAAAUUAGCAAACAAAAUCAAUUAAAACCGAAACUUAUCAAGAAAACAAAUCUUGGUCGCAAGCACACAUCCACCUACGGAAAUUAGAACCGAUCCUUGAAACGAAAAUUGCAGUUUAUGUUAUGAAAUAUUAUAUUUUCUUAACGUUGAUUAAUUAACGAAUCCGCCGUAUAAUUAAUCCUAACCAACAAACAAUCAAAGUGUCUGCACUAAUGAUUCAAUUUAAUGGCAGCUUUAAGAACUAGAUAAUUUCAUCAAGAUUAACAUACAAGCUGUCCGCAACUUGUGUCACUUUGUUCAAAUGUUCUCCUUAAAUUCAAUAACGUAGUUCUGCCACAAUUAUCAAGCUUAGUUGCUUCACAAGUUCAUAUAUCACAACUCCGGUUUUGAUAUUAAACUUAGCAAUAGAUUGUUCACAACAAUAAUUUAGAGUCCGCUCUAGCAAUCAUCAACAACAAUCAUAGGAAAUAUGCAUAGGAAAACAAUCAUAGUCAUUCAUAACAUAAACUGAAAAUAAAAGGAAGAAUAAAUCUCACGGUUCUUGAAAUCCGAAGGUUUGUUGUGUCCUUGCAACCAAGAAAAGAGCUUAGCCUUGCAUAACUAUUGAACAUCUACUUCUAAAGAAUGAAAAGAGCAUGAUUUUUUGGGUUUGUAGAGGAGAGAAUUUGUGUUUAUUCUCUGCUGGCUGCUGCCUCCUUCUGCUCUCCCUCUUUUCUGCUAGCUGCUGCCUCCUUUUCUCUUUCUUUUUAUAUGCUAAGAAACCCUAGUCUCCAUUUUACAAAAUAGUCCUUCCUUAAGUUGGCAGUUUACAUUUAAGUACUUCAAUAACUAUUUUCCCUAAAAAGGAGAAAUAACCUUACAUGAAAUCUUUAAGCUCUGACUUAGAGGAGCUAAAUUGCUGAUAUAAAAACAUGGAUGUCGAUUUAGAUGCUUCGGAAUGUAAUUUGGACUCGUUUCUUCACGAAACCUGUUUGCUGGCAGAAUUCAGAUGUCAUCUUUGAAAAAUCAUAUCUCCAUCAUAUGACAUCUUUUUUGGCUGAAAUUUUAAGUGUUUAUAGUUCUUUGAGUUUGGAAUCCAAAACAAUUGAGUUUGCAUCAAUUUGACUUCUGUAGCUCCAGAUAUUAAAUUUUGAAUAGCUAAAGGUCAACAUUGGCAGAAUGCAAGAUUUGACUUUGCAGGAUGUGAUUUCCAUGAUCUUUCUCUUUUUAUUUUUAUUUAUUACAUUUCCAGAAAGGUAUGGAUGUUAGCUUUUUAUUGCCACUGGAAUCACUUCAUUUCAAUCUCUAGAACUCGCGCUCUGCACAAAACAUCGAUUGAACGUCAAAUCUGCCAAUUACCUCCAAUUUACUCAUUUUUACAUCUUUCAUCAAAAAGUGCCUUCAAAACAUAAAACAAAGAAUAUCAAGGCAUUUUAUAUAUAUAACAUGGACAAAACAUUAGGUAGAUGUGAGUAAAACUAUCGAAUAAUAUGGUUACAUCAAAUACCCCCACACUUAGCUCUUGCUCGUCCUCGAGAAAGGAUAAAUAAAAUUAAAUUGAAAAUAACUAUGAUCAAUCUCUUAAUCUCCCAUCGAUGUCCAAGAGUACAAGCAUUAUAAAUAAGAAUAUAAUAAAAAAGGAUAAAAAAAUACAUAAAUUUUCAUGAAUUUGUUUACAUGCAAACUUCAAAACUCGAUCAAUCGUCGGGAUUUAAAUGAAAUCUAUGUCAUGCCAAAGUGAUAGGUCCUCUCAUUGAUAUACACUCCAACACUCAUGUGUUUAGGGUUUAUGUGUUUAAAUCUCUCAAAUUCAAUCAAUGAAUAUGUUCUACCAUAAGCUUGCUCUUCAAUCUCAUCUCCAUUACUAACAUAUUACAAACAAUGCAUGAAUCAAAAGGUCUUAUUUUCUUGUUGUAAUGGGGCAGAGGUUAAGGUGAGGUAAAAGAGAGUAAAAGAAAAGGUUCAAACCAAAGAAAGUAGAGCAUUCUGAAAAAUGAUAUUUCAAACAAGAUAUUCUCUCAAAGCACAUAAAUUUUCCAUCUUUAAUCACCAAUGCUUAACUUCUUUUGGUUUCAAGCUUUUUCAACAUAAAAUCUUAAGAACAUAAAGGAACACUUUUUCUUUCUUUCUUUCUUUUUCUUUUCCUUUUUCUUUUUGUUUUUCUUUUUUUUUUCUUUUUUUACCUUUGGCAACUUUGUCCAUCUUUUCAUUAAGCAUCACUUCUUUUUCCUUUUCAUAUAAUUUUCAACCAUAAUUCCAUGAGAUAUCACAAAUAUAUGCUCUACUGCCAGGGGAAAAGGAAAACAUAUAAAAAGUUAAGGCUUAUACAUGGAUAAAGCAAAGAAAAGAUAAACAAGCUCAAAAGGGACUCACUAAGGAUAAUAUGCUUUAGGUUGGCUUUUUGGUUCAAGUGAUUAAAAUUCCUAAUGCCUUUAUCAUCUUCAUGUAUAUUUGUAAUGGAAUAUAAUCUCAAUAAGAUAUGAAGCAAGUUCUAGAGAUACAUAUCAUUGAAAGAAUGCACACUCAAAGAAUAUAAUGUUGAAGGCUCAAAAGCUUGCAUUGGUAUAACACUAUAAAGUCAACAUGGCAUAUUCUCAAAGUCAAUCCCUAAACCAAUUAAACCUUAAAAUUUGCAUGCAUACUCCUUCAUUUGAUUUAUAUCUUCAUCUAUCUCAAUUAAUUCUCAUACAUAAUACUCAUAUUCUCAAAAACCAAUGGGAGUUAAAAAGAUCAAACAUAACUUUUUUUUAGAACAACAAAGAAAACUAAAAUAAGAAACCAAAAUUCUCCCAAUACCCCCACACUUAAAACACAACAUUGUCCUCAAUGUUGAAAUAAAAGCAAAGGAACAUAAGAGAAUGACAGAAAAUAAAUUAAAAUGCAAAAAAAUAAAAGAUAAGGAAAAAGAAAGCAAAUCUGAUUUUUUUUUGUGCUGGGUUGCCUCUCAGUAAGCGCUUUUGUUUUAUGUCAUUGGCUUGACAUGUGGCAUGCUCAUUCUUCAUAGAUUGGUUCAGCUAACUCUACAGAAGCGGUGAGUUAUGCCGUCCAACCUUCAUUGAAAGGUUUUAAACAAUGCCCAUUGACCUUGAGUACUUUGUUGGUUUCUAAACUUGUAAUUUCAACUGCACCAUAAGGAAAAAUAUUAGAAACAACAAAGGGUCCAAUCCAACAAGAGCGCAAUUUUCCAGGAAAAAGUUUCAAACGCGAAUGAUAAAGAAAGACUUUGUCUCCAACAUGAAACUCCUUUCUUAUAAGCAUUCGGUCAUGAAGAUUCUUAGUCUUUUCUUUGUAAAUCCUUGCAUUCUCGUAAGCAUCAUUUUAAAUUUCUUCCAACUCUUGCAGUUGUAGUUUUCUUGCAAUCCCAGCAGCAUCAUAAUCCAUGUUACAUUGUUUAAUGACCCAAAAAGCUUUGUGUUCAAGCUCCACCAGUAGAUGACAUGCUUUCCCAUAAAUCAUUCUAUAAGGUGACAUUCCUAUAGGUGAUUUAUAAGCAGUCCGAUAAGCUCAAAGUGCAUCUCUAAGACGUAGACUCCAAUCUCACCGGUUAGGUUGCACUGUUUUCUCCAAAAUGAACUUGAUUUCUCAAUUUGAAAUUUCAGCUUGGCCAUUCAUUUGAGGAUGAUAUGCUGUGGAAGUUCGAUGAGUCACAUGAUAUUUGCGUAGCAAUGCUUCCAUGGGACGAUUGCAAAAAUGAGUGCCACGAUCACUAAUGAUAGCUUUAGGGAUUCCAAACCUGUCAAAUAUGUGAGUCCUGAUAAAAUCUAAAACAACCUUAGCAUCGUUAGUUCAUGUGGCUUUUGCCUCAAUCCAUUUGGACACAUAAUCAAUAGUAAGAAGAAUAUAAAGAUUGCCAAAAGAAGAAGGAAAUGGACCUAUAAAAUCAAUACCCCAAACAUAAAAAAUUUCACUUACAAGAAUAUUCAUUAAAGGCAUUUGAUUCUUACGAGUGAUAUUACCUGUUUUUUGGAAUUUUUCACACGAUUUGCAAAAAUGAUAUGCAUCCUUAAAAAUAGAAGGCCAAUAAAAACCACUUUCAAGUACCUUGUGGGCCAUUCUUUUUGCUCCAAAAUGCCCACCACAAGAAUGAGAAUGACAAAAGGUAAGAAUGGAAUGAAAUUCAUCUUGUGGUACACAUCUCCUAACUACUUGAUCCACACAAAAUUUCCACAGAUAAGGAGUAUCCUAAAAAUAAUAUUUAGCAUCAGCUCGUAACUUGUCUUUUUGGGAUGUAGACAAACAUGGAGGGAAUUCUUUGGUGACUAAAUAGUUCACCAAAUCAGCAUACCAUGGUCUUAUAGAGGAAUGUAACUCAAGAUCAAAUUCUUGUAAAAGCAAGAUCCACCUAAUCAAUCUUGGUUUGGACUGCUUUUUCUUCAAAAGAUACCUUAAAGCUGCAUGAUCAGUAAAACACAAUGACUUUUGUACCAAGUAGAUAUGACCUGAAUUUUUCAAGAGCAAACACCACUGCAAAAAGUUCCUUUUCAGUUGUAUGGUAAUUGCAUUGUGCUCCGUCCAACAUACGGGAAGCAUACGCGAUAACAUGCAAAUUCUUCCCUAUUCUUUGCCCAAGGACAGCCCCUACCGCAUAGUCACUUGCAUCACACAUUAUCUCAAAAGGCUCAUCCCAAUUUGGUGGUUGGAUGAUAGGGGCAGAUGUGACACGCAUCUUAAGCUCAUCAUGGACAUCUUUACAUGCUUGAUCAAACACAAAAUCCACUUCUUUGGCUAAUAGUCUACAUAAGGGUGCUGUAAUCUUCGAGAAAUCUUUGAUAAAGCGUCGAUAGAAACCUGCAUGGCCUAGAAAAGAACGAAAUUCCCUCACGCAUGAGGGGUAAGGCAAUGAUGAAAUAACAUCUAUCUUAGCUUUAUCAACCUCUAAUCCACGUGAAGACACAACAUGCCCAAGAACUAUUCCUUGUUCUACCAUAAAAUAACAAUUUUCAUAGUUCAAGACAAGGUUAGUUUCAAUGCACCUUUUCAAGAUCAAAGAUAAAUUUUCUAGACAUUUAUCAAAAGAAUCACCAUACACCGUGAAAUCAUCCAUAAAAACCUCGAUUAUUCUUUCAACAUAGUCAGAAAAAAUACUCAUCAUGCAUCUUUGAAAAGUUGCAGGAGCAUUACAGAGACUAAAAGGCAUUCUCUUAUAUACAUAUGUACCAAAUGGACAUGUAAAUGUAGUCUUUUCUUGAUCCUUAGGAUUAAUAACAAUCUGAUUGUAUCCACUAUAUCCAUCAAGAAAGCAAUAGAAAGACUUACCUGCUAGGCAUUCAAGCAUUUGAUCCAUGAAUGGUAAUGGGAAAUGAUCUUUGCGUGUAGAAAGAUUGAGCUUUCUGUAAUCAACACACAUUCUCCAUCCACUCGAGAUGCGAGUAGGAAUGAGCUCAUCAUUUUUGUUUUUCACCAACGUGAUUCCGGUCUUUUUGGGCACCACAUGGAUUGGCGCGACCCAUUUACUAUCAGUGAUGGGGUAAAUGACUCCUGCAUCUAACAGUUUUAAAAUUUCAGCUUUCAUUACCUCCAUCAUAGGCGGGUUCAACCUUCUUUGCAUUUCCCUUGUUGGUUUUGCGUUGUCCUCAAAUAGUAUAUGAUGCAUACACAUUGAGGGACUAAUGCCCUUGAUGUCGGCUAAAGUCCAUCCAAUGGCCGUCUUGUGAUCACACAACAACUUCAUAAGUUUUUCCUCUUGCAUACUUGUCAAACCUUUUGCUAUGAUAACGAGAAGUGUAUUGUUGUCGCCAAUGAAUACAUAUUUCAAAUUAUCGGGCAAAGGUUUUAAUUCUAACUCGGGGGCCUGUAAAAUAGAUGGCAAAAGCUUUUUAUAUGAGAGUACUAAAUCAACAAAGACAUUACCAUGGGGAACAGUUUGCAAAGCUUGUAAGGCCAAUACUGAUUCGUGCACGUUUUGGGGAACACACAUGUGCCUCUCUAUCUCUUCUAUCUUGGUGAAAUCAUAGCCAUAGCUCAAAGUUAUGCUUAAUCCGUCUUCGUAAUCAAAAUCACAAACUUGCUGCACACACUUAUCAAUUUGGUCAUAGCAUGUGAUAGAAUAAACAUUGUUAUAAGGAUAUUUCAUUGCAUCAUGAAAAUUGAAUUCAAUUUUUUCAUCUCCUACCUCCAUAGACAAGGUAUCCUUACCACAAUCAAUCUUUGUGUUGGCAGUUUUCAAGAAUGGUCUCCCAAACAAUAUAGGAGUGCUAGUUGAUGAAUCACAAGAAUCAUGUUCCAUAUCAAGAAUAUAAAAAUCACAUGGAAUAACCAAACUAUCAAUCUUGACUAGGACAUCUUGUAUCACUCCAAGUGGGUAAACAAAACUACGAUCCGCAAGUUGUAUUACAAUGCUAGUUUUAUUCAAAGGCUCACGACUAAGAGAAUCAUACACAUGUUUGGGCAUAACACUAAUGGAUGCACCUAAAUUGCAUAAAGCUCUUUUAAAACUAGCAUUACCAAUAACACAUAGGGUAGUAAACGCACCUGGGUCUUUUUGUUUCAAAGGCAGAUUCUUUUGAACAAUGAAAGAUACAACUUCACCCAUACUUACCGUUUCAUGACCUUUCAGUUUGAAAGUUCUCUUGGUAGUACACAACUCCUUCAAGAAUUUUGCAUACUUGGGAAUUUGCUUGAUAGCAUCAAGCAAAGGAAUGUUGAGUUCCACUUUCUUGAAAACCUCUAAAAUCUCUUUUUCUUUAUCUUCUUUCUUUGACCUAGAAGAACUCAUAGGAAAGGGUGAAAUUGUUUUAAAACUGGAAUUCAUUGAGUGAGGAGUUACCUUUGGAGUGUUGGUCGUUGUUUCAGUUUGGGAAGGAGGAGGAUGUUCCUUCUUUGUACUCAAUUCAGUUUCUAUCUCUUCUUCUUCCUCCAUUUCAAUUUGUUUUGACCUUUGCUCUUCAAGUUCUUUCCUACUUCGCAGCAUGAUUGCACUAACAUUCUCUUUUGGAUUUAAUGCUUGGGAGGGCAACUUUCCAUUCAUUUGUGCUUCCAAUUUCCCUACACUUGAAGCUACUUGCCCCAUUUGCUUUUCCAAGUUGUGAAUACUUGACCUUGUUUCCUGUUGAAAAGACAUGAUAUUUUGUUGCAAGGUAACAGUAUUAGAAGCCAAAGUUUUCAUCAUCUCACGAAGAUCAUCAUUGGAUGACGACCCCAUAACAUUGGAGUUUGUGAAUGGAGGGGGUUGUCUUGCUUGAUAAUUUUGUUGGGGCUGAAAUCCAUGGGGAUGGAAUUGUUGGCCUUGAUUGCCUUGUUGGGAUGGGUUGUCGUAGCGUAAGUUGGGAUGAUCUCUCCAUCCGGGAUUGUACAUGUUGGAAAAGGGAUCAUAUUUACGCUGGGGCUAUCUGUUGAAUGUUCCAUCAAUUGUAUGAGCUUGUUCAAUGUAAUCUUCUUGCAUUGUUGGGCACAUAUCCGAAGCAUGUCCUUGUAAGGAGCAUAUGCUACAAACUUUCACCUGCUGCAUAUUUCCACAAGCCAAAGAACGCACAAGAGAAGUAAGAUCAUUAACUUUAUUUUCAAGGUUAGAAAUACUUACCUCAUUUACUCGUUUGUUGGAGAAGUCUCCACGAGUGCCAAAUUGUUUUGAGUUGGCUGCCAUGUUUGAGAUCAUUUGGCGUGCAGUCUCGGGUGUCUAAUCUACCAAUGCUCCUCCACUUGCAGCAUCAAUCAUACUACGGUCAGUAGGCAUCAAUCCUUCAUAGAAAUAUUGAAUGAGCAGCUGAUCGGGUAUUUGAUGAUGAGGACAUUGAAUGCAGAGUUGCUCAAAUCUUUCCCAAUAUUUGGAGAGUGUAUCUCCAUGAGAUUGCCGAAUCCAACAUAUUUCUUUCCUUAUGUUGGCAACUCGAGAUGCUGGGAAAUACUUCUCAAGGAAAAUCUUCUUCAUGGCAUUCCAAGUUCCAAUAGAUCCUGGGAGAAUAGAGAAAAGCCAUGCCUUUGCUGCCCCCUUCAAAGAGAAAGGGAAAGCUUUUAACUUAACUUGUUCUUCAUCAACUCCAUUCGGUUUCAUGCCAACACAAACCAUAUGGAACUCCUUGAGAUGAGUAUGAGGAUCUUCUCCUGCAAGACCAUUGAAUGUUGGUAACAAAUGUAUAAAACCAGAUUUGAGCUCAAAGUUUACAUUAUUGUCAAUGUUUAUGCACAAUGGUUGAUUUUCCACGUUAGGAGCAGCAAGCUCCUUGAGUAUUUGUUGUCGUGCAACCGCCAUGGUGUUGAGGAGAGCUUCCUUUCUUAACCUGCGUAAAGUGCUUUCUAUUUCAAGAUCAACCUACACUUGAAUUUGAUUAGUAGAACGGGUCACAGACAUAAAUCGCUAAGAAAACUCAAAAGAAAGCAACCACACAAGAGAUGAAAAAAAAAAAAACAAUGCAAAUUAUAUGAAAAUCCUACGCUAGAAAACUAAAACUGCCUAAAAACCUUAGAAAACAAUGGAAUUUGGCCUCGAUACGGUAGGGCUCUUGUUCAGAACGUCGUUUCCCAUCAGAAAACAAAAGGUCGAAACCUAAUUCCACAAAACAUUCUGUUUUGAACAGUACCGCUGCCGCAAGUGAACAGUACCGCCGCAAGCAAAAAUUCUGUUUCUCUUUUUUUUUUCAGAAAUAUAAAUAACAAUCACAGCAACUAAAAAUAACAGUACAAGCACAAGAAUCAACUAAAAUUACUUCCCCGGCAACGACGCAAAAUUUGUUGCGAUGUCGCGGUCGCACAAAUUAAUUACCCUAGCUUCAAACACAACACACAAGAUAGUAUAGAGCAAGCAAGGGGUCGAUCCCAUGAGGAAGUUUCAAGUCAGAUUUUUAUGUUGUACGUUAUGUAAUUGGGGGGAUUUGGUUUGUGAUUAUCUAAACUAUGGCAGCAAUUAAAUUAGCAAACAAAAUCAAUUAAAACCGAAACUUAUCAAGAAAAACAAAUCUUGGUCGCAAGCACACAUCCACCUACGGAAAUUAGAACCGAUCCUUGAAACGAAAAUUGCAGUUUAUGUUAUGAAAUUUUAUCUUUUCUUAACGUUGAUUAAUUAACGGAUCCACCGUAUAACUAAUCCUAACCAACAAACAAUCAAAGUGUCCGCACUAAUGAUUCAAUUUAAUGGCAGCUUUAAGAACUAGAUAAUUUCAUCAAGAUUAACAUACAAGCUGUCCGCAGCUUGUGUCACUUUGUUCAAAUGUUCUCCUUAAAUUCAAUAACGUAGUUCUGCUACAAUUAUCAAGCUUAGUUGCUUCACAAGUUCAUAUAUCACAACUCCGGUUUUGAUAUUAAACUUAGCAAUAAAUUGUUCACAACAAUAACUUAGAGUCCGCUCUAGCAAUUAUCAACAACAAUCAUAGGAAAUAUGCAUAGGAAAACAAUCAUAGUCAUUCAUAACAUAAACUGAAAAUAAAAGGAAGAAUAAAUCUCACGGUUCUUGAAAUCCGAAGGUUUGUUGUGUCCUUGCAACCAAGAAAAGAGCUUAGCCUUGCAUAACUAUUGAACAACUACUUCUAAAGAAUGAAAAGAGCAUGAUUUUUUGGGUUUGUAGAGGAGAGAAUUUGUGUUUAUUCUCUGCUGGCUGCUGCCUCCUUCUGCUCUCCCUCUUUUCUGCUGGCUGCUGCCUCCUUUUCUCUUUCUUUUUAUAUGCUAAGAAACCCUAGUCUCUAUUUUACAUAAUAGUCCUUCCUUAAGUUGACAGUUUACAUUUAAGUACUUCAAUAACUAUUUUCCCUAAAAAGGAGAAAUAGCCUUACAUGAAAUCUUCAAGCUCUGACUUAGAGGAGCUAAAUUGCUGAUAUAAAAACAUGGAUGUCGGUUUAGAUGCUUCGGAAUGUAAUUUGGACUCCUUUCUUCACGAAACCUGUUUGCUGGCAAAAUUCAGAUGUCAUCUUUGAUAAAUCAUAUCUCCCUCAUAUGAAAUCUUUUGUGGCUGAAAUUUGGAGUGUUUAUAGGUCUUUGAGUUAGGAAUCCAAAACAAUUGAGUUUGCAUCAAUUGGACUUCUGUAGCUCCACAUAUUAAAUUUUGAAUGGCCAAAGGUCAACACUGGUAGAAUGCGAGAUUUGACUUUGCAGGAUGUGAUUUCCAUGAUCUUUUUCUUUUUAUUUUUCUUACAUUACAUUUCCAGAAAGGUAUGGAUGUUAGCUUUUUAGUGCCACUGGAAUCACUUCAUUUCAAUCUCUAGAACUCGCGCUCUGCACAAAACAUCGAUUGAACGUCAAAUCUGCCAAUUACCUCCAAUUUACUCCUUUUUACAUCUUUCAUCCAAAAGUGCCUUCAAAACAUAAAACAAAGAAUAUCAAGGCAUUUUAUAUAUAUAACAUGGACAAAACAUUAGGUAGAUGUGGGUAAAACUAUUGAAUAAUAUGGUUACAUCAAUUUCUUUGAAAACAAUCUCUAACAUUAAUCCCUAGAAAUAAAAGAUUUUUUUAAAUUGGGAUUUAAACAAAUAUUUUUGAUAUUAAUCCCUACAAAUAAGAGAUUUUAUCGAAUUGACCAAUAGUAAAAAUUUAAUGUUAAUCCCUUAUAAUAAAAGACUUAUUGAGAAGGUUUUUGAUUAAAAAAAAACUUAACGUUUGCACCGUGUUCCCAAAAAAUUUAAAUUUUGUUUUUUUUGCUAAAAAUUAAUUUUUUGUGUGUUUUGGAUCGUUUUAAUGCACUAGCUGAUCUCAAAAAUGAUUUUUUCAAAAUAAAAAAAAUAUUAUUUUGAUGCAUUUCGAUAUAAAAAACACUUUAAAAAACAAUCUCAACCACACUUCCCAAACAUGUUAAAAGAAACUUUUUUGUUUACUGCGAGCAUGAUUUUAAAGGGUUGAAACUAAAUAAUUUAUAGAUGCAUUUUAUAUGUACAUAUGGUUAUUGGGUGGGACCCUAGGAUACAAAUGAAUUUAUAUCUUCCUCCUUUUUUUAUAAUAAACUUAGGACUGUAAGUCUAAUAUAUUGAUGUUGGACUAUGAAACUAAACUUUGGAUUACAAAAAUUAUGCUACCAUUUAGAUCAAAACAUCUCAUUUACACAAUUUUGGUUCAUGAAUUAAACCCUAUCAAGCUACGACUUUUGUUCAUAAUGUAUAUAUAUUUUGCAAGAAUUAAACAAAGAAAAUGCAGACAUGAGAUAUGCUUCCAUUUUUAAACAACAGUUACGAAUGCCAGUCAGGAAACAAAAAAGAAAAAAAAAGCAAGCAAAGAUCCUGGCUACUGGAAAUAGUUUCUCUCCCUCAACUCAUAAAUUAUAAGCAACGAGAUGGGUGGAUGUCCAUGGUUUAAUCUUGCAAAGAGGGAAAGACUUUGAAAUUUUGUUAGCCAGAUGAUGCAGUAACCAACCUUACAAUAUUCUUCAUAUUUCUGUUGUUAUGAGAAUCAAGUUUUUAUCUGCAGGUUUCACGACUUCCCAAAGCGUUACAAGGAAAUGAAACAUGUUAUCAAUCAUGUGUAAAGAAAUGGCCUCCUGUAAGCAAGGGAACAACAAUUGUGGUUUUUUCAGAAAAUUAUACAUGCUACAGAGGAGGAUGAGAUUAGAGUUUGUAUCCUUGGUUUCAAAUCACAAUAAUAAAAAGAUAGACAAAUAUUCCUCCUGUAAAAUGCUAUCCCUACUGUCAACUUAUUCUCUUUUUUUUUCCUUUUUCUUUUAACAGAAGCAGGGAACCCCAAGAAAGGGAUUGAACAUAUGUUAACAUUCUUCCUAACUGGUCAAACAAAAACAAUGGAGAAUGGUUAAGGAAAUGGUUAAACCUGUCCUCUAAAACUUGAGCUAGGCGUUUUACGAAACUUGAGGCAAGAACCUAAUUGUAACAACCCGAGACUUUUAAUGAAAUUGUCUUUCACAAUUUAUCUUAUUCAUGUAAAAUAGCCUUGAAAUUUUUUUUAUAUAAAUUUUGACAGAGCUUCCUUAACAAAAACUCUACCAAAAACAAUACUCAAGUACCUGUUCGUCACUAGGCUCAUCAUCCAUUAAUUCCAUCAAUUGCAAGAUAAUACAGAAUAUUCACUCUUAAGAGAAAUAUCACAACAUUUCUUUGAAAAUAUACAUGUACACAAGUGAUCCCUAAACAAUAAUAGAUUUCAUUCUUUCCCGGUCAUAUGGUAUAUCUUGCUUGAGUACAUAAAUAGAUUAUUCACACGACAUUGAUUCGUUUUCUUACAAUAUUCUCCCUAGAAGUACUAGUUAAGAAAGUCUGAAAUACAAUGUUAAGGCUAAGGUAAUGGACGUGCAUGGAAUACACUUAGAGAAACAACAUGGUUUAUUUGUAUUCAUUGCUUCCAUUAACUUUUCUACAACUCCAAGACUGAACAUAACAUCAUUGAUCCUUUUUCGAGUAUAUUAAAUGAUGUCAGUAUUCAAAAUUGUUUCGUUCUCUUCAUCAAGAGUUAAUCUCUCAUUUCUUUCAUUUUAUUUAUUUUGCCAUAUUUUCCAUUUAUUAAGUUCUCUAAUUCAAAUAAUAACUCCCCUUUUUCUUUCUUAGUUCUCUAUGUCAUCACCUUUAUGAUCAAACUAAUAUCUCAUCUCUCUAUCCAUUUUAAUAAAUAUAGUCCAUAUUAUGAUUCCAUUAUGAAGUCAUUAACCCACCGCAAUAAUCAUAGCUCUCGCUUUAAGAGUGUGUUUGUUUUUGCUGUAAUUGUUGUGGUUGCGGUUGGAAAAAAAUGAUUUUUAAAAAAAAGCACUUUUUCUGUGGUUUGUGUAUAUAUUUUGAGUGUUUUGUUAAAAGUGUGGUUUAACUUUAUUGUUGUUAAAAACAUGUUUGGUUAAACCUGUGGUUGCGGUUGCUUUUGUACCCAAAAUGACAAAAAAGGACAUAAAUAAAAUAAUUCUGUGUUAAGAGAAAAUAAAACAUUUUGUCCACAUAAAUACCGGUAAAAUAAUAAAAGCGUGAUUUGUUAUUACAACUAAAUAUUAUUGUCCCAUCAAACUAUUUGCAAUGCCAUCACGAAUAUAAUCCAUACGCGACGCUCUCUAGUGUCCAGUUGUUUGUGAUUGUGGAAUGACAUCGAGAAAAGUAUUUGAAGGAACGAAAUCAGGAUGACUAUCAAACUUGUUGAAUGCAACAACUUUAAUGCCAUCAUGAAUGCAAGCCAAUGUUUGCAUUGCCUAGUAUUACAAAUAUUUCUUCAAUUUUAAUGCCAAUGAAGAUAUUGAUAAUAUAUUAAUAUGUGAUGUAUAGAGAGCAUUACAGUUGGCAGAAGUUUAGACAAAGAAAACCUUCAGUUUAUAUUCUACAAAAAAAAGCUUAUAUGUCACUAUGAGACCUAUGAACGAAGACUAUUUAAAAGCAUAUAAAGUACAAACACAAGAAAAACGACCGUGAUGUUGAGGACAGAUAGGGCUAAUUAAUUUCUUGGUAAAGGUUGCAGCGUUUUCUGAACAGCAGCCACGGCAAAAGCAACUGCGAGUUGCUUUUGCUUAUCCUGCAUUUGGAACGCAAUUUGUGUGGGCCCCAUGAAGUUUGAAAACGUGGGUAGCUGUUAACUAAACAGCUUGAAACAAUAGAACCGCAGGAAACGUGGACCCUCCCACGUAACCAAACAGAUUCUAAGUCAACCAUGUUCAUGGGUCUGACCCAAUGUUGAUAGCUCAUGCUUUAAUUAUGUAUCCAUUACUCCAAUUUAAUGACCAUAGCUCGUGCUUUACUAUGUGUUCAUUAAACCAAUUUGAUGCUCAUAACUCAUGCUUAAAUUCAAUUAUGAAUUCAUCAAUAUGAAUCAAUGCUCGUGGAUCAAGCUUUGAUUCAAUUUUUGGAUUCAUUAAUCCAAUUUGUACACUUUUCUCAUGCUUUGAGCCAACCGUAUUUAAUGAUUCAUUUCAAUACCUAUAUUUCAGGCUUUAAAAUCAAUUGUAUUCAUUGAUACUAUUCAAUAAUUAUAGGUUGUACUUCACACUAAUUAUAUUCAUUGAUCAUGUUUUAAUAUCUAUAACUUAUGUUUUAGGCCAACCAUAUCUAAUGGUUCAAUUCAUUAGUUGUGAUUCGUGUUUUACAUCAAUCAUGCAUUCAUUACUUCCUCUAAAAAAUCGUAGUUGUACUCUACAUCAAACAUGCACCCAUCAAAUCAUUUAAAUAAUCAUAGCUUCGUUUCAAUAUUCAUAACUUGUACUUUGUUUCAAUUAUGUAUUCAUUAUUCCAUUUCAAGUCAUUAUAGCUUGUGUCGUAUAUCACUCGAAUUCAUUGAUUCAUAUCAAUAUUUGUAACUCGUGCUUCAUGCCACCCUUGCAUUCAUUGAUUCUUUUCAAAAUUCACAACCUACGCUUGAUGUCAACCUUACACUUAUGGAUCUAUUUUGAUAACUAUAGCUCGAGGUUUAAGGCAAUUAUGUUUAUUUAUUCAUUAUAAUAUUCACCAUCUUGUGUCUUACAUCAACUAUUAAAUACAUUUAAUGAUCUAUUUUAAUAACCAUAGCCUGUAUUAUGCAUCAACUAUGCACUCAUCGAUUCAUUUUGAUAAUCAUAGAUCACAUUUUACAUUAUCUAUAAUCAUCAAAUUGUUUAAUAAACUUAACUUGUUCUUUAAAAAAUUCAUUGCAACCAACUUAACUUCAUAUUAUAGCCCCCAUAAUUGCUGCUAGCUUUUCACAUCUCAUUCCCCUCGCAACUAUCUGACUAUUUCAAUCAUCUAUUUGUCCCCAUCAUUAAGGCAUAUUCAUUUUCAUAUCAUUUUCCUGCCUUGUAGGUCUAUUUCCACUUAAUAUCAUUAACUUGCCCCGAAAGAAUAAUUUAUAUGAUACCAUUUUCCCACCCUGAAGGUAUUUUCCAACCCCAAAGAUAUAAUUUUUUUUAUAUCAAUUUUUUUGAUAAUGAGCACUUGUAUAUAGAUAGCUUGCAUUCUAACAUUUACAUUAAUAACUUGAAAAAUCAAAGGGGUAAAGGGUGAACCCUUACCUAAAGCUCUUGUUAUGCAUGCUCUUGAGAAAGCAAGCUCCACUCCGGACGCUUCUCCUACAAAUCCCAAAUGAUAACAAAUUGACAUCUUUUUUGGCCAAACACACAUAUAUUUGUUCAUUUAGCAACCAAUUUAGCCUCAACAAAUAAGUACAUAAGUUACCAUAAACAUUUGCACAAUCUUAGCUUAUUUCAGCCAUUACAAGCAUACACGUAAUCAAUCUAUUCUUUAACAAUAACAUAAAACAUUUGACCAUUCACACCUCAACACUCAUACACCCUUGGCUCUCUAUUUCCCUAAAUGUUUUAGCAAAUAUCAACAAUAUCACACACAUACUUUUUGGCCAUCAAUCCAUUAACACACAUACACACUAUUUGGAUGAACAAUCCAUAACACACAUAUAUAUUCUUUUGGCCAUAACAUCUCACACUUACAUACAUUCAUGACUAUUAUAACAGUCCAUAAAUACAUGCAUUUAUAGCUAUCAUAGCAGCCCAUAAUUUCACACUUUUAGGGUUGUCAUAAUAGCUCUUAAUCAUACAUAUUCUUAGUUGUUGUAAUAACUUACAUUCACCUAUAUAAAUACUGCUAUGGUAUCCCUUAAACUCUCUAUUUUCCCUGCCAUAAUAGCCCUAAAUUACACACAUAACAUUGCCCAAAUCAGCCCAAACUCGCAUACUUUUGUGUUACUAUAACAACCUUGAAUUACACACAUAAUGCUCCCAAAUUAGCCUAAUAUUACACACUUUUAUGUUGCUAGCCCUUUAUUAUGCACAUAACGCUACCCGAAUCAACCCAAACUUGCACUCUUUUGUAUUAAUAUAACAACACCCAAUCUUCACACAUUUAGGCUGUGAUAGCAACCUAUAAAUACUCAAUCUAUGGUUGUUAUUCCAACAACAUUUGACCAAGGAGAAGGAGACAACAUACAACACAAUUACUGUAACAACCCCGAUUUUUCUACAUUCUUUUUCGCAAUAUAUUGCAAAUUUUCAGGUAAUUUUUUUUUGACAGGUUCCACCAAAAUUUCAGCAGAGUCUCCCCUAUACUGGUAGGUCCCAAGUUAUCGACAUAUACUCUAUUUACACUUCUAAUAUCUCACAUCUCAUAACUCAAAAUCAUGACCCAAUCAUCCUGGGUCUCGACCCAAUCAUUAUCAUCAACACGACACAUCUUAUUCAAUAACAUCAUAUAAUGUAGUUCAAAUGAAAGAUUCAAUUUCAACUAUAAAGAUGCAUGGUCAAAUAGGUACUAAGAGUUUCAACCAUUAGAUUAAAGACAUACAUUCAAAUUUACGGAUUAAUCUUACAUCUCAAGUUUUAGGAGAUAAGUCUUUUAAUUUACAAAUAAUUUACAUGAUCAAAAGUAAAAGAUAUCUAAACUAGUAUUUCCCUUGACGUGACCCUGAUGGACCUGAAAAUAAAAAUUAACAUGUACAUAUAAAUAUAAAAGAUAGUAACAAGCAAUAACAAUGGCAGACAAUAGUCUCUACGAAAUUUCUUUUGAUAUAUAAAAUUAGGCAUAAACCUCUUUUACAACAUAUAUUUUCCAUCUAUUGCCAAUAUCCAUCUAAUAUCCUGUCUCAUUUGCCAAGAAUAAUUCCAUCUUGAAAAUCUCAACACAACUCAACGGUUUGCGAACACCAUCUCCUUAUAAAUCAAUUCUCACUUGAUAUCAAGAUAUUCCUCUCUUGGUAUCAUUAGCUUAUCUCAUUCUUUUGGAAUAAUCAAUCAAUAUUUUUCCUUUUCUGAAUCUAUUGCUAGAAGAUAAUCACCGAAAUUAAUAAAUCUCAUUAGUAUCAUUAGUCUUCACAUAACCUUGGUCACCCUCAUCACAGUGCCAAGCAUCAAUUUAUGCCUUUAGCCACCAUCAUUAUGGUGUUAAGUAUCAUUGUAAUGUAUCCUUAGCCACCAACACUAUGGUAACCAAUUAUCUAUCAAUUCCCCUCCAAUCUCCAAAUCAUUGUGUCUACCCAAUAACCACAUUAAUUCAAUAUCUUAGUCAUAUAUUAAUUAUUUUACUCAUAACAUUUAGAAUUUACUACUUCUAACUUCAAUCAAUUAAUUCACAUAAUCUUUUCAAAACUUAACUAUCCGGCUAACUCAUCUCGAUUGCCAAUAAUUCUGGUAAUUUCAUAUAAUUACCCACACAUUUGGUUAACCUUGGUUACCAGUACAUCUGGUAAUUCCAUAUGAAUUAUCCAGCCUCCAACUAACUUCUUUUGUUAGUCAAUCAAUCCUGUAAUUCCAUACGAAUUACCCAUAUCCAGUUAACUUCCUUGUUAACCAAUAAACCCGGUAAUUCUCUUAAUUACCCAAGCAAUCUGGCUAACCCAUCUUGGUUGCCAAAGUCAAUCCGGUAAUUCCAUACGAAUUAUAUAGCAUCCGGCUAACCUCUUUUGUUAGCCAAUUAAUCCAGUAAUUCCAUACGAAUUACAUAACAUCCGGCUAACCUCUUUUGUUAGCCAAUCAAUCCGGUAAUUCCAUACGAAUUACCUCAUAUCCAGUUAACUUCCUUGUUAACCAAUAAACCCGGUAAUUCUCUUAAUUACCCAAGAAAUCUGGCUAACCCAUCUUGGUUGCCAAAUUCAAUCCGGUAAUUCCAUACGAAUUACCCCACAUCCGGCUAACCUCUUUUGUUAGCCAAUCAAUCCGGUAAUUCCAUACGAAUUACCCAGCACUCGGCUAACCUCUUUUGUUAGCCAAAUAAUUUCGGCAAUUUCUCUUAAAUUAACAAUAAUUCUCAUUUGUAAUAAUCACUCAACUUAUUCAUUUGUUUCAUUCUUUUAACAUCAAUUAAACACACAACACAGACAUUUAAGAAAAACUAAUAAUUACAAGAUAAGGUGAUGAAUCACCUACCUAGAAUAGGUGCACGUGUUGUCACUCUAUGCAAUUGUCUAGUCCCCACAGCUUCCCCUGUACCACCAGGGAUUCAUUUUUUAUCAAUAAUACAACCAACAUCACAUCUUCAUUUAAUUCUCAUUCAACUAGUAUUCUCAAACCAAUCACAAGGAAUUUUCUUUAAGAUCUUAUACUCUUACUCAUUUUCAUGUUUAUAUUCAUUCUUAUAAUUUUGUUAUCAAAACCAUCACUCAACAGCAAUUCCAAGCAAAGAUUAAAAAUUGUCUAAUUCCGAUCAAUUUAGCUUAACCAACCCAAAACACUAUCUAGUGUCGUAAUCAUAACUAAAGCUGUAAAACUCAAUUUUGAGCGUGAUUUAUCUCUAUGAAAGGCUAAAACAUGGAAAUACAACUUUUAUGAAGAAACCAACUCCAAAUUAUUUUAGUUUUAAGGCUAAAAAUCAACAAUCACGAUAGCCCCUCCUUUACAGCUAAAAUUUUGGACAACGAGGAUUUCCGUUCCUUGGAAAUCCUUUUCAACUUCCAACUUAUUUUCAUGCAAAAACAACAUCAUUCAAGGUCAUUUGGCAUCAUUAAAUCACAAAUUCAAACCAAUUCUAAAGCAAAACAUUCAAACAAUUUCCCUACCUCUACAAUGUAGCAAGAUUAGACCAAAAAUAAGGAAACUCAUUCCUUUUGGGAUUUCUCCCAUUAUUAUUUUUAAUACAACAAAAUGAUGAACUAUUCAUUUUCUUUCGUUUUCUCCUCGUGCGAUUAAACAUAUACGGAAAACCUUAACAAUUUAUAUUCUUAAAUCAUUAUCACAACAACCCUUAACAAUUAAUAUUCUUAGAUCAUUAUCACAACAACAAUUUCACCCUACUAGUUGGAAUCCAUGACACUAUUCAUUAACUAGUCAAUUUGACAAAAAUACUUAUGGCUAGCUUUAAAUAUGUUUUAUUUUCCAAAUUUCUCUCAUUUCAAUUUCUUCAUGGUUCCACCCCAUUUAUAUCCACACAACCAACAAGUUAGCUUUGUAUUCAAUCAACAUGUUCACAAAACAAUGUUCCUUACUAUUAUUACACAAUAAUCAUUCUUCCCCUCAUAUAAAGAAUACACAAUUAAUCUAUAAUAAUACUAAUAACAAGAACAUAUUUUACCAUUACAUCUUCCAUAAAACCUACACCCACACAAUUCUAAUUUCAUCAAAACAUGUAUUUAAUCAAGCUUACUACAUUUUGCCAAAACUAGCAAUAGAUUCAAAAAGCAAUAAGUCAUUAACCUCUUAUUAUUGUUUCAAACCCAACGGUCAAACUACAUAUCAUAGGGUUGUUCAUAAUAUAUCUCAAAAGCAUAAUGAUCCAACGGUUAGAUCUGCCUAGAUUUGCAUAAAACCGAGCUCACCUAAAAAUGGACAAGUUAAUGUUCAACAUGCACGAAAACUUUCCGGAGAAUGCGUUUCCGAGCUCCACCAUCCAGAAUGAAGGCAACAUCUAGGUGCACAACAUAUCCAAGAAUGAGCAUGAUCCAACGGUGGAAGACGGAUAAAUCGGUCGGCGACCAAACUGCCCUGCAGGUGCAUUUCCUUUUUGUUUUCCAGGAAAUAUCCAAUGAUGCUUUCUGUCAAACGGAUUGUUUUCCUUCCAAUCUCUCCGGUCAGUUAGUAGAGAAGUGUAAUAAGAACAACAUAUCUAAAACAAAACAUGAUCCAACGGUGGAUGCCAGAGAUAUGGCCACUAGCGCAUUAUUGGUUUUUCUCCAAAAUCUGCAGCUCUCUCUCUAUCCGCUUUUCUCUAUUUUUUUUCUCUUUUUUUUCUUUUGUUUAACUGGUGGCCUCUUUGCAGUUUUAUAGGAACUUUUUUCCAUAAUUACAAUUUUAUCCCUCAUUCAUGCCUUUAUGUAUUUUAUUUUAUUUUUCAUGUAAACUAUCUGGUUUAUUUCUGCUUAAAUCGUUACUCUUUACCAAACUCUGAUUGGGAUGAGAUAUUUAACCAAGGUAGGAAAACAUAUUAAUAGACUUCAUGCAAAAUUUCAUUCUGAUCCAAUGAUUGGAUUGAGAGCUCUGCUUCCUAAUGCAAACUUGUUCAGUUCAUGACUUUUCAUAAACAAUCUAGAUUUUUCUUGUUCAGUCUUCACAAAAAGUCAUAUCAAUUAUCUUUCUAAACCUUUAAGGUCAUUUUAUUAUUUUGGAACGUAUUCAUUAAUUUCCACCUUUAUUUCUUUAUCGGGCUUAUUACCGUUUCAAAAUAACGUCACUGAUUUUUAAUCAGUGCUUGCACCUUCAGUCCUACCCUUUUCAUUGCAUUAUCCUUUAUUAUAAUGCAUUCUUUAUUACCUCACUUAUUUCCUAAAAAUAUUUUGUCAUUUUCUCAUUAUUUUAUCCAUCAAAAUACGUUACCAGUUUCUCUGUCUUUAUGAAUUCUAAACCAAAAAUUCAUUUUAUGGAGGUCAUCUCUUCCAUUAUAUAUCAUUAUUUAUCUAUUAUUUCUAAUCUUGGUUUCCAUCACUCAUUAAAAUAUUACCACUUUCAGUCUUAUGUUUACAUGAGGGUUUACACAUCUACAUAUUUAAAUUAUAAAUUUCCAGGGUUUUCACAUUUACUCACUAACAUUCAAUGAAUAAACCUUUCAUCAUCUCUUCACUACCAAAAAAUCGGCAAAAACCAACAGAAUUACCAACGAAAUUUUUUUGUCCGUAAUUUUUACUGAUGAAAAUAAUUUUGUCUCCAAUUCUGUCGGUAUAUACCGACAGACAAUACCCGUCGGCGAUAUGGUCGGUAUAACCGACCGUAUCACCGACGAAUUAUAUAGUUAUUUUGGAAAGUUGUAACGGUGUGAUGACGUGGAUUUUUUUCAGACGAUUUUACCAACGGAAUGACCGAGUGAUUCAAACCGGGAUCUCCAUACAGUGACGUGGCACUGUCACCAGCGGACUAACCAACGGGUAUACUGACGGACACGUUCCGUCGGUGAUUCCAUCGGUAAAAGUCAAUAUAUACCCAGUCUGCCGACACUCUCUUCCUCUAUUUCUCCUUCUUCUUCCCCUUUUUCUUCCCCAUCCCACCUCUCCCCUCCCAAACUGUAGCCAACCACCCAUCCCAACUCUCCCUCUUUUCUCAACACAAGCACUCAAGUUUCUUAUACUUUUGUACAUGGUCACAACAUCAGUUCUUGUGGAUUUUAUUAUUUUUUGUAAGUAAAUCUAUCCUUUUUAGUUUUAACCUUUAAAUGUGAAUUUUAUUGUUUUUUUUAGUAUAUGUUUUUUGUUAACGUAUGUACUUGUUUGAUUGUUAUUUGUCAAAGAAACUUGUAGUAUGAAUGUAUAAUUUUAUAGUUGUUAUAGUUUGUUUUAGAUUUUGUCAAAUUAUAUUUGUUUGUAAAUUGUUGAAACUUUGUUUGAAUUACACCGAAUUAGAUGUGUUGUGAUGAAAUACAUAAUAGUUUGUUUAACGAGUCCGUUUAAAUUUUUAUCAAUUCUAUUGCGAAGUUGUGAUUUCCGUAAAUUUAUAUGUGUAUAAAUUUGUAUGGAUGUUGAUAGUUGAUAAUUGAUAAUGAAUAUUUAACAUAAGUGUUUUUUUAGUUUGUUGGACAAUGUCGGGGCAAACCAAUAUUUUUGUUAUGUUUAUUUACGUAACAUAGUUAAUUAAUACAUGUUGUCGUCAUAAUUUUAUAAAGGUUCAAUAGAAGUCAUGGAUGAUCGUUCAUGGAUGUAUCGGGACUCACCCCAAAAAUUACGGAGGAUGGAUUAUUGUAACGGGGUUCAGGGUUUUAUUAAUUUCGCAACAUCUAUCUCGAGAAAUUUUACUGAUGGCAGUUUUAGGUGUCCAUGCAAGAAGUGUAAAAAUAAAAAGUUUAUGCAUCAAGAUGUUAUAACGAUGCAUCUUCUAACCAAAGGGUUCAUGGAGGAUUACUUGUGUUGGUAUGCACACGGAGAACUAUUUGUUCCUAAUGAGAGCAUGGUAGAAAGGGUGGUUGGGUCAACUUCUAGUGCUAGCAACAUGCAUGAAGUUAGAAAUGACAACAGUAAUCCUUAUAGGAAUAUGGUUAUGGAUGCAAUGAGAAUGAGUGAAGGUAAUGUCAGUGAAUGUCCAAUCGUAGAAGAGGAACCUAAUGCAAAUGAAACAAGGUUUUUUGAUCUGUUGAAAGAUUCUAACGAACCAUUAUGGGAUGGAUGCACGAACCACAAUAAAUUAUCGGUCGUAGCACAGAUGUUCACCAUCAAGUCAGAUCACGGGUUGAGUGAGGCCGGUUAUGACAAGAUUAUCAAAUGGGCGAGAAGCAUUUUACCUGAAAGGAAUAGGCUAAAAAUGAACUUUUAUGCUGCCAAGUCCAUGAUAAAACCCCUUGGUUUAGGAUACCAGAAAAUUGACAUGUGCCCUAACUUCUACAUGUUAUACUACCUUGAAAUUGCUGAGCUGACCGAGUGCAUGACUUGUGGGCAUUCCUGUUACAAACCCAGAACUGGCAGAGGAAAGACUCUUGUGGCAAAUAAAAAACUUAGAUACUUCUCAAUCACACCUAGACUGCAAAGGUUAUUCAUUUCACCAAGGACUGCUGAGCACAUGACAUGGCACAAAUCACAUCAUGAGGUUGAUAGAGUGAUGGUGCAUCCUUCUGACGGCAAAGCAUGGAAACACUUUAACAGUGUGCAUCCUCACUUUUCAGCUGAAUCAAGGAACGUGCAUCUUGGGUUGUGUACAGACGGAUUCAACCCAUUCAGGUCAUUUACUGCUCCUUAUUCUUGUUGGCUGGUCAUACUGACGGUUUAUAACUUGCCACCGAGGAUGUGUAUGAGGCCGGAGUUCAUGUUUUUAUCUAUGGUCAUACCAAGUUUGAGCAGUCCGGGGCAGAAUAUAGAUGUUUGUCUUCGACCGAUGAUUGAUGAGUUGACGCAGUUCUGGUCCUCUAGAGCUUUGACUUAUGAUAUCUCGAGGAAACAUAAUUUUGUUAUGAGAGCGGCUUUGAUACGGACUAUCAAUGAUUUCCCAACUUAUGAAAUGGUUUCUAGUUGGAGCACGCAUGGAAAACUAGCAUGUCCAUACUGUAUGGAGAACAACAAGGCAUUCACGCUAAUAAACGGGGGUAAAGCUUCUUUUUUUUACUAUCAUCGUCGUUUCUUACCACCGAAUCACAGGUAUAGAAAAAAUAGAAAGGAUUUUUUUGUUGGCAGGGUUGAAAAGGAUGUUGCACCCCGUGUCUUUCUGGUGAAGAAUUGCAUGAUGUUGUGUCAGAGUACGGUGACAUUGUGUUUGGUCUCCAAUCAGGUAAGCAGAAGUUUCCUUGUUUUGGUUUGACACAAAAUUGGGUGAAGCGAAGUAUCUUUUGGGAGCUUCCUUAUUGGAAGACCAAUCUUCUCCGCCAUAACCUUGACGUCAUGCACAUUGAAAAAAACAUGUUUGAGAACAUUUUCAACGCCGUCAUGGAUGUGAAGGGGAAGACAAAGGACAAUAUCAAGGCUAGAUUGGAUGUAGCGUUGUUCUGUAACCGUAAAAAUAUAGAGUUGGUUUGUGAUGGGUCACGGCUCGCCAAACCAAGAGCAAGCUUCGUGUUAGAGAAAAACGCACAACUACUAGUCUAUAAAUGGCUUAAGAGUCUGCGUUUCCCCGAUAGACAUGCCUCAAACAUAUCAAGGCUGGUUUAUACGGAGGAAUGCAGAUUAUAUGGAAUGAAGAGUCAUGACUGCCAUGUGUUUAUGCAAACACUCAUCUCAUUAGCUUUUCGUGAUUUGUUGUCAAAGGGGAUAUGGGAUGCACUCACGGAGAUCAGUCAUUUCUUUAGAGAUAUAUGCUCCAACAAGUUGAAUGUUGAUCACAUUGAAAGGCUUGAAACAAAUAUCGUCGAGACAAUAUGCAAAGUUGAGAUGAUAUUCCCUCCAUCAUUUUUUGACUCAAUGAAGAAUCUACCCGUACAUUUACCGUUUGAGGUAAAAGUUAGAGGACCGAUCCAGUACAGAUGAAUGUAUCCAUUCGAGAGGUUAGAUAUUAAAGUUGCUAUGUAAUUCAUAAUUAAUGUUUUUUCAUUUUUUUUAAUUGAUAAUUUUUUAUUAAUUAUAUAUAUGCAGGUACUUGUUCAAUCUUAAAAAAAGGUUAAGAACAAGACGCAUGUUGAGGCGUCAAUAUGUGAGGCCUAUAUUGUUGAGGAGAUCUCAACAUUUAUCUCAUACUAUUUCAAACCUCAUUUGAGAACGAGGAUCAAUCGUGUUCCAUGGCAUGAUGAUGGUGGUGAAGUGCCUUCAAGUGAGAAAUUGUCAAUAUUCUCCAAUCCUGAACGACCCACAACUAAAAAUGCCGUGAGGGAAAGAUAUUUGUCUGAAAUAGAGUUCAGACAAGCAUAAAAUUAUGUCCUAUUUAACUGUGAUGAGCUAAGACCUUUUAUUAAGUAGAUGUUCGACCUAAACUUUACCAAGAGUGUACUAUUUAUAUAUUGUGAUACCAUAAACUCAUAUAAUUUGGAAUAACCUUGUAAGCAACAUCGAUGAUACUUACUGUCUAAUAACUCACAGCUGACCGAAUCCCAAAUCUUUCAAUUACAAGAUGAAAAAUUUGCCACGUGGUUUAGAACACAUGUAAGUCUUAUCACAAACUCAUUAUCUCUUGCAAUGUAAUUAACUGUACGUCAAUAUUACAUAAUAUUCGUUUAUUGAUUAUUAUUGUAUUUGAUAUACAAGGUUUAUCAAAUGGGAGGUAGUGCUGCUAUUUCACUGUCUUUACUAAGCUUGGGCCCUGAAAGAAAAGUCAAAUGCUAUAACGGGUAUUUUGUCAAUGGAUAUGUCUUUCAUACUGAAGAAUACGGGCAUGGAAGAAAGAUAUACAACAGCGGUGUUUGUAUUAAGGGAUCGACUUCAAAGUGAGUUUGAAGUUGACUACUACGGUAGAUUGGAAGAGGUCAUCGAACUGCAAUAUCAUAACGAAUAGAAUAGAGUGUUUUUAUUCAAAUGCUAUUGGUAUGACACAACUGACAGAGGAAUCAGAGUAGAUCCUCACUAUGGUCUCGUUGAAAUCAACUCAAAAGCUAGACACCGCAAUAUAAACGAUGUCUUUGUUUUCGCAAAGCAAUGCCAACAAGUUUAUUACACAUACACCCCUUCCUUUAGAAAGGACCGAUCAAGAGUUGAUUGGUUAUCCGUUUUAAAAAUCAAACAUAGGGGUUGUGUCGAGGUUGUUCAAGAUGAGAACAAAGACACAAGUGUGAUAGAUGAAGUCUUUCAAGCUAGUGAGUUGGUUGAACCAUACCGAGUUGCUCUUUCGAUUGACUUAGAAGAAAAUUUGAAUUUUCGUGUUUUCGACGAUAGUUUUGUUGAUGUUGACACAGAAGAGUUGAAUGUUGUUUUGAUCUCUAGUGGACUAGAGAAUGUUGAUGAAGAAGAUGAUAACUACAUUGAAGAGUGUGAUGAAGCUGAUAACAAUUCAAUUGAGGAUGAAGAUGAAAAUUAUUACUAAAUAUGUUGUAAAGCCUUAUUUUUAUAAUGUAAUAUUAAGGAUGAUAUUUUGAAACAUGAAAUAUUUAUUUUAUAAUUGUCAGCUCUUGUUAUUGUGUUGUGCGUGCUGUAAGUUUGCAAUUCAAGCUUUUGUGCAGGAGGAUAGACAUGCAUACAAACAAAAUUUGCAAAAAGAUUGACAGUUUUACCGACAAAUAGACCGACGACUUGGAACCCGUCGCUAUGAUACCGAGAGUUGCAAAAAAAUUAUGGAAUUUUGCCAUACUCACCGACGGCUAUACCGACGGACUAGAACCCAUCGGUAUUAUACCGAGAGUUGCAAAAAAAUUACAGAAUUUUACCACACUCACCGACGGACUAGUACCCAUCUGUAUUUUACCGAUAGUUGUACAAACAUUGCAGCCCCUGCCACCAUCACUGACGGAUAUACCGACAUAUUCAGCGACGGAUGGCGCAAAUUCCAAAGUGCACGACUGUCAAACUGCCUAGUCGGUCGGCUUAGUUACCGACAGAUUUGCCGACGGACAUCGAAAAAUCUGGAGGGAUUUUUGAAUUUUUGGUGCGAAAAUCAAUUAAAUACCGACGGAAAGUACCGACGGAAUUUAAUGCCACCGCCCAAAAAAUAUUAUUUUAUUGCCCGUCGGUAAAUCCGUUGGAAAAAUUGUAGUAUAAACCCCCCCCUCCGUGGUUCAUUUUUUCUCUGCACCUCAUUCCUAAAUUUAUUUUGAAUUUAUGUAGUGUUCUCUAGUUUUGUGCAUUGUUUGUUUAUUGUUUCUUUUGUGUAGUCUUCUUUAGUUUUUUCUUUUUAUUUGUUAAAUUUAUUUUAUUGUUUGUACUGCCAUAAUACCUUGAAAAUUUUGUUAAAUUUAAAUUGUUAUUGAUGAAUUUACCUUUAAAAUGUUAAUUGAAAUAUAGAAUUAAAUUUAAUUAGUUUAUUUUAAUUUUAUGAUAUUAUUGUUUGUUAUGUUUUUUAUUAUUUUGAUUAAUCUUAAUUGUUAUUUAUGAAUUUGUAUUGAUGUCAGUUGAAAAUAUAUAGAUGUUGAAUUUCUAUAGAUGUUAGGUUGUAUAAAGUUGAUUUUGCAAUAUUUGUGUAAUUAUCAAUAUUUGUAGGUAUAAAAAUUGUUGGUAGUCUCUAAUAUAGGGGAGGGGAGGUACUGGCGAAUUUUUUUAAAUAAUUGAAUUUAAUUAUUUAAUUAUUCUUAUAAAUUUGUGUAGAUGUGUUGAAUGAAAAUUUAAUUAUUUUAUUGUUUUUAUUGUAAUAAUUAUUUGAUAAUUUAGUCUUUUUUAAUUGUUAUUGUUGAAUUUUCCAUUGAAAUGGUAAUUGGAAAUGAAGAAUUAAAUUUCAUUGUUUUAUCUCAAUUUUAUUCUAUUAUUGAUUGUUAUGUUUUUUUUUUUUUCCAUUAAUUUUAAUUGUCAUUUAUGCAUUUCUAUAGAUGUUAGUUGAAAAUAUAUAGAUGUUGAAUUUCUAUAGAUGUUAGGUUGUAUAUAAGAUAUUCCAAUGGAGUCAAUUGGGUUGUGGUUAUUGUAAAGAUUUGCAUGUUUGAAAAUUGUGGGUACUCUCCAGUAUAGGGGAGGUGCUGCCGAAUUUUUUUAAAAUAAUCAAAGUUAAUUAUGUAAUUAUUCGUAUAAAUUUAUAUAGAUGCGUAGAAUGAAAUCUACAGCACGUCAUCAGCAGACGGUUGCAGCUAGUUCUUCUAGCAGCGAGGAGAACCUAUCCUUAGGUGUUGAUCACGACAAGGCAUCUGCGCCAACUUAUGAUGCUGCCUCUUCUAGCGCGGUUUCACAACGCAUAGGCGGUGUGCCUUCACAGCGCAUAGGCGGUGUGCCUUCACAGCGGGGUCAAUUCACCUGCAAAUACCAGGCACAAUGGAAGGAUGACCUCUCAAUGUAAGUUUGUUUAGGUUUUAGUUUUUUUUAUACUUAUAACAUAAUUUAUGAACAACUAAUUAAUAUUUUAUUAAUUUUAUUUAAUUUCAGGUUCACAAACAUUGAGGCUGCUAGGACAAUAACAUCGGGUUUAAAUCAUCGAUGGAGAUUCCAUUGUUUCAAUGGAGUUAAGUUUCCAGACAUCCUGAGUGGAGACCUAAUAUCGAUGCAUGGUUUCGGUGAUUUCAGGUAGGUGUUAACUUUUAAUUUCCAACUUAUUUUUAAUAAAUUACUUUUAUAAUUUUAUAUCUUGUACUAUUUUUAUUUUAAAUGAAUUAUUUAUAUACACAGCAUAAAUUUGAGUGGGAUAGCACGGACAACAAUGUUGUGAGGAGGGUAUGGGAGAAUCACGCGACAACAAGGUAAUAUCGAAAAUAAUAUUUCUUUUUAUUUUAUAAUUUUAUGUUCUAAAUUCUAAUUGGUUCGGUGACCACACACACCGGUGGCUCCGUCCCGUUCAGUGCACAUGCGAAGCGGAUGGUAAGAUUAAUUUAAAUGAAAUAUAUCGUUAAUUAAUUUGUUGUUGCUUAUAAAUAUAUUUAACUUGUAAUCUUUUUUUUCCUUACAGGCUACGUCUCUUGGACAUGAGCUGAGUCCAAUGGAGCUGUUUGUAGAGACGCACGUGUGGAGUCAAGACCGGCAAAAGAGGGUGUAACAGAUCGUGGACAACCGUGCUCAGCACUUCGUGGUAUGUUCGUUCAAUCAUUUUAUUUCGUAAGUUAUUAUUUUCUUAAAUUGAAUAUGAUGACUUUUUUAAAAAAAAUUCAGGAGACCUAUAAUAGCCGGUUGAGGGAGAGAUAUGGGGACGAUCCUUUGACCCAUCCAGAUUUCGAUCUGGAUUUGUGGAUGGAGGUAGGAUCAUCUUGUGGACCUGAUAAAAAUCGGGUCUACAGGCUCUCCAACACUACGGCCAAAAACUUGCGGUUGACCCGUAGUGUCUCCACCGUUAGGAGCUGUCCAUCAAUAUCGAGUACCCAGUUUGAGGAGUUCAUGGCCUUGAAACAACAAUAUGAACGACUCUCGACAGAUUAUGAUUAGCUCCGUCAAAUGGUCAUGGAUAUUAGAUCAAGGAUGGGUGAUGAUACACGUGCAGCCCCUUUUUGGCCGUAUAGUCCCGGGAACAACCAGCCUCCUCCUCCUCUUCCUCCAGCUCCGCCGCUAUUCUAGUUUAAUUUUGUUUUUUAAACACAUUAAAUUUGUAAUGAAUAUUUGGAUGAAUAUUAUUUAACUUUAUUUUUAUAUUUUUAAUGUUUAAUACAAUUUUAUUUGGUUAUUAAGUUUUUUUUACUAUUAAUAAAUAAUUUUUUUAAAAUAUUUUAAAUAAAUACCGACGGCUUUCCAGACGGAAACCAGCCGUCGGUAUUUUACCGAGAGUUGCAAAAAAAUUGCCACCCAUGCCACAAUUACCGACAGAUAUAUUUCGUCGGUGUUUACCAUUACUAUUACCGACAGAAUAUAUCCGUCGGUAUUUGACAAAGAGUUCUGAAAUAUUUACCGCUAAUGCCACAAUCACCGACGGGUAUUCCAUCGGUGAUUACCGUUGAAAAUACAGAUGGAAUGAUUUUGUCAGUAAAGUUCUCGUGGAAAAUUUUCUUUUUGGCACGCUUAGCCGUCUGUAAUACCGUCGGUGUUUGGUUUUUUUUAAUUCCCGACAGAAUUAGCAACGAAAUGAAAAAUUACCGACGAUCAAUAUUUCAACGAACAAAUUCCGUCGGUGAAGCCGUUGGUAAAAAUGUUACCAACUGUUUGUGUGCCUCACACCGACGGAAUGAAUCUGUCGGUAAAACUGUUUAAUGGUGUAGUGAUUUUUAGAGUCCAUUUUAUUGUCUAAGCUUAUUGUUACCUAAUUUUCAUAAUCCAAUUUAAUGACCAAAGUUUUUGCAUAUUAAUCAUGCCCAAGUAAUUAAAUAUCUCACAUCAUUUCUUCUCAAUCUUUUAUUAAAAGUUUAGUAGUCAAUACAUGGAUCCCUUUUAUGACAUAUAGUUAAUCACCAUUAACAUUGUCAAACUUCAAUUUAAUAAGUCUAUUUUUCUUCACACAAUUUAUCAAACACCUAUUGUGUAUUUAAAAUAAAUCAUCUUUUACAUAAGGACAUAUAUAUAUACUUCAUCUUUUUUAAAACAUAACAAUUAUGUUUUACUCAUCAUAAUCAAUUUACAAUCAUUCCCACCAUGAAUCCACACAUCAUAGGUCAAUUCACAAUGAUUUUAAUCCCAAUUAUACAUUUAAUUCAUAAUUAUGUUAUAUAGUCAACAUAAAUUCCAGCACUAAUUAUACAUACAUAUUCUUCUAGAACCCACCAAUAAAAAUUUCAUACAUCAUAACUCAAUUCAUAAUAACUAUAAUCAUAAUUACCUAUUAAAUGUAUCAUCAAAACUUAUAAUUUACAAAACAAAAUCAUCUCUAAUUUGAACCAUCAUGGCCUACCAUCCAAGGGUUUUGAAAUUCAUGUUUGGCCUCAUAUACUUCACUAAUCAUAUUAUUCAAACCAUCCUAGCAGAAAAAAAAAUCUAAGAUUUCAAUCUAAUUUAACAUUUCCAUCAUUUAAUUCCAACUACAUACAAUACCAACAACCUAGCAUAUCUUUUUUUUUUAAUCUUUGAACUUAAAGGAUAGAAAUGAAAUCAAAGGAAUUUAAUGCUUCUUACCCCUCAUAAACAACUCAAAUUUGAUGGGUCUUUUGAUUAGAGUCCAAAAAGAAAACCUUAACUUGUUUUCCCUUUUUCCACCUCUCCUCUAUUUUGAAGAACUCUCUCUCUCUCUCUCUCUCUCUCUAACUACCCUAAUCUUUCAAUUUAUCUGUAAUCUCACAAGUUUGUGUUAAUUUUUGUAGAACUAAAACACUUUCACUACCUCUUAUGCCAUAAGUUUGAAGGGAAGAAAAACACAUUGCUAGCCUCCUAUUUUAUCAAUGUCACCAACCAUAUAAAAAAAUGAGGAGAUAAUUUUCUAUUUAAUUUACAAAAUUACCCAUAGUUAUGUGCACAUACUAUUUUGUUUUUGUCAAGUCUUCAAUCAUAAAUAUCUUUUGCACACAAGUUUAUUUUUAUCUUCUGCCAAGGCUUUUAUUAAUUGACUUAGAGUGUCACAUUUGGGAACAUAGGGUUUACAUUAGAUAUCACACAUGUUUAUUUAUUUUUUAAGCCAUCAAUCAUAGGAAUUCUUUUGUAUGAGAUUGUAAUAUUAAUCAUGGGGUUUACAACCUUAAUAGAAGAAAAACAAGAUAUUUUGCUCAUCAAUUUUUACCAUUUUGACACUAGGUUUAUAUCAUACUUGCUUAUUUUUUAUCAGGAUAUACACUAAUAAUGACAUUAUAGCACAAUUAUCACCAGUUUCUUGUGAUCCCUUAGGGACAAUAAGAGAUACCAUAAACAUACAAUUUAAGGUUUCUAUAUUAAAGGAAUUUAGAAAACUAUCUAAGCAAGUGAGGGACUGAACUUAAUACCUACUGGAUUCCAAAAUCCAAAACUUGUGACAUCCAUGAACAGAAAGAAAAGAAGGAAAUCAUAAGGAUUUAAAUAAAGUUAAUAUGAAGUGUUAUAUCAUAAAGCCAAAAACAAAAGUAGGAUAUAUAUUCAAAAUUCAAUAGCAUGUUAUCAUGAAAACAAAAGAUUGCAUCAUACUUGGUUUUAUAAAACCAAAAACAAAGCUUUUAGGUUGAAUGAUAUCCCUUUCUUCGCUUCCAUAAAAAUGGUUCUCCUCGUUAAAUGAUAUAAAUCUAGAAAAACUUGGAAACUAAACAAUAUCAAGGUUGUUAACUCUAUUUUAGCUUUCUAACAUAUCUUUUCUUCAAUUUUACCCCUUGGUAAGGAUUUCUAACCUAUUUAUAUGCUAAUUGUUGGGUUCUUAAAGGUCUUUUAAUGCUUAGGCAAAAAAUAUAGCUUAAAAUCUCCAUCAAUCUUAUCUUAAAAUUGUGCAAUGUUUUAUGACUUGAUUGCUUGUAAUUGUGGUAUCUUGGUUUGAUUAAGGCUAGCUAAUUGUGAUAAUAAAAUGAGAUUGUAUACAUCAUGAUAGUAAUUGGUAUGUCGAAGAAUAAGAAUGAUAAGUUUUUUAUUUUAUGGGAGGAUCAAUUAGAGAUAAAAUUCAGUUCUAAAAAUUUCAUGAGAAAGGCUGAAAAUCAAAAUUUUUAGCGUGUUUUCUAUUUCUAGGAGAAGAAGAUGCACAAAAGGUUUGAAACAAUGCGGUUUGAAAAGAUUUCAAUUAAAAACUAGAAUUUAUCUGCCUUUCCAUUGUAGUCCUUGGCCUUUUAAAUUUUAAAUUUUGAUGUGAACCCAUAAUCACGUGGUCACGUAACCCACAUGUAAAAAAGACAAAUACUAGAAAGCCAAAGAAUCAGAUUUGAUAGAAGUGUGACACAAAGAUUACAUGAACCAAAGUACUAACACUAUUAGAAUGAACCCUUACCAAACGAAUAUAAAUUUGCAAACAAAAAUUAUAAUUAAGACACCACAAGGCCAAUUAUAUCUUGAUAAGUCAAAUUUGUUCUUUGUCCCGGCAAAGAGAAAAGUAUUGCAUCACAUAAAACAUACGUUUAUUCAAAACAUCAUAGCUGCUAAAUUUUACAUUAAAGAAAAUAAUAUAUAAUCCUUCUAAUUAGCUCGAGAGAUAAGCAAUUCAUACAAGGAGAUGAUUUGGGUAAUUUUGGGUACCAUGAUGGGGUAGAUAUGAGUUUGGGUAACACUAAGAUGAAAAUAUCUUUAUUUUAAGGGGAAAAUGAUCCUUAAGUGUAUUUGGAGUGAGAGAAGAAGAUGAAGCUCAUACUUGAUUGUCAUAUCUAUUUGGAGGGUAAGAAGGUUAAGCUUAUCGUAAAUGAGUUCACAAAAUAUCCAUUAUAUGGUGGGAUCAACUUGUGUUAAGUCAUAGAAGGAAUCAUGAGUGGCUUGUUGAGACUUGGGAGGAUAUGAAGGCUAUUGUGAGGAAAUGAUUUAUCAAUAGUCAUUAUUAUAGGGAAUUGUACCAAAAGUUGCUGUGUUUGAGCUAAGGUACAAAGAGUGUUGAUGAGUCCCGUAAGAAGAUGAAGAUCGCGAUGGUUUGGGCUAAUAUAGUGGAGGAUAGAUAGGCCAUUAUAACAAGGUUCUUGAAUGGUCUGAAUCACGAGAUAAUGAAUAUUAUGGAGUUUCAAAACUUUAUAGAGUUAGAGGAUGUGGUGUAUAUAGAAAUAAAAAUGAAGAGACAAUUAACUCAAGCGUAAGGGUAGUUUAUGGCCAAACCAAACGUUGGGUUCUUUGUCACCUUGAAAAUCUAAUUGGAAGGUUAAUGUGGGAUAACCGAGAUCCUAAAAAAAAUGACACCUUCACUGAUAGUAAAGGUAAAGUUAAAACUCUUACAUCUCAUAAUUAUGACAUAAACUAUUUUUGUUGGUUGGGAGUUGGCCAUGUUACUUCACAGUGUCCAAAUAUAUUUUUCCACAUAGGAUUAAAAGUUCAGGUCAAUUACAGUUCAGUAAGGUCUUGUGAUACAGGUCAGCAAAUGCAAUACAAAUUUUGUUACUUGUUAUUUUUUGAGUUAUGGACUUCUUAUUUGGAGAUGAAUUUUUUUCUUAUAAUGCAAGGAUAUUCAACAACUUAUUUUUUGGAGUUUUCUAGUUCUAUAAGGUUCUUUAAUAGACAACAAUAUAUUUUUCAAGUGUGGCCAAGAUUCCUUAAUAUUCAAAAAUCAUUUUCUUACAAGGAUUACUUAUUUGUCCUAACUACACAAGGACAAGAGCACUGAAGUAUUUAAUGGCAUAUUACUUUUGGAAUGAAUCAUUUCUUUAUAUUAAUCUGAAUUAUUUAAAGGUUUAAUUUGCUGUUUUAUUCAUUAUUUGGAUAGUUACAUUUACUUUUAUGAGGGGAACUACGGGGGCUAAUCUUGGCUUGGUGGUUGCCAUUGAUUACUACCGUAGGUAUAAGGAAAGGCAUUGAUAUGGUGGUUUGCGUGGAUGGUGUGAAUGGUGUGAAUGGAUGAUGAAGCCAUGAAGGUCCAAAGCAGCUGAAGGGGCUGUUGGCUGGAGAGAGGGAAAACAAUGGCUCAACAACUACAGUUAUAGUGCUCUUUCAUGGGUUGAGGUAGUUAUGUAUGAGUUGGCUGUGACUUGUGGAAUAAUAGAGGUUAAGAUGGGUGCUUAUUUAUGGGGGGAAAAUGGGAGAGAGAUCAUGGAUAGAGAAGCUAUGAACUUGGCGUGUGAGGGAGCUACUGAGAUUGAAAAUGGUGGCAUUGGGUGCAUUGGAAUGGUGGCAGUUAUGUUAAGAUAUAAGUGUGGGUCAGUGUUUUUUACUUUGUGAGUGAUGGCUGGAUAUAAAGAUUGUGGCAAGGGUUUUUUUUUUAUGUGUGUGUCUAGGGAGAGAAUGUAGGAACAACUUUUUGUUUCAUUUUUUUUUCUCUCCUUUGUUUUCUAGUCUUUCCCCUCUUUUUUUGUAAGAUUACCACCUAUUUAUAGGUGGAAAAUGUUGUCUUCUUCCCUAAUUGUUUGGUCCCCAAGCAACUAAAAAACACUUUGAUCCCUCAUUUUUCUUCCUUUGCAUUUUGGUCCCUUUGUUCAAAUUUUUUUAUUUUUUAUUUUUCUUAUUAUAAAAAAUAAGGGGUCAAAUUUUAGGCUAUGACAAUUAUCCCCCUCUUUAUAAUGCUUACGACAGAAAGUCUUGUAAGAUACUUUAGAUAGUAAGUUUAUAAAGAAAGAAAGAUUAAAAGGAUAUGGACUUACCAUAUCAAAAAAAGGUCAAUCCUUCUAAAAUUUUGAGAUACUUAUAGAUACCUCAAAGAUUGACUGGUCUUUAAUGAAAGUUUUAGCAGUAUGGGCUUGAAAGUGCACUUGGAAGAAAAUUGAUAGGGCUUGCUGGCGCACUAUCUGGUAUGUGAGGGCUAGAAAGUGCACAUGGAAGGAAAUAGAUAGGGCUUGCUCGAGCACUACUUGGUAGUCGAGGGCUUAAAGACACACUGAAAAUAGAAAAGAUAGGGCUUAAAGGUGCUCUCAAAAGAAAAAUCAUAGGGCUUAAAGACACACUAUCUAGGAGAUGAGGUUUCAAAGGUGCACUCAAGAGAAAAAGAUAUGACCCACAGACGCACUAUCUAUGAGGCAAGGGCUCAAAGGAAAAAUAUAGGGUUUGCUCAUGCACUAUCUAAGAGGCGAGGGCUCAAAGACGCACUUAAAAAGGAAAAGAUAAGGCUUACAAGUGCACUAUCUCGUAUGUGAGGGCUAGAAAAUACACUCAAAAAGGAAAGAGAUAGAAUUUGUAAAGAAAAAGAUGAUCUUUGUGAAAAACUAAAAGAUGUUUCGAAAUGGUAUAGUUGUACUAGACGACCUUCCAAUUGGUAAAAUUCAAAGAUUUUUUAAAUGGUCAAAUUAUCAUGGGUGACUUGCCAUGGUGAAGAAUACAAGGAUUUUUUCAAAUGGUCUCAUUGUAAUAGGUGACCUGUCCAAAUGGAAAAUACAAUUUGUUUUUUAAAUAAUCAAAUUGUCACGGAUGACCUGCCUAGGUGAAAAUAUGAAGAUUUUUCCAAAUGGUCUCAUUAUAAUGGGUGACCUUUCCGGGUGGAAAAAUAUAAAAAUUAUUCAAAAUGAUCUCAUUGUAAUGAGCGAUCUGUCCGGGUUAAAAAUACGAAGAUUUUUCAAAAUUGUCAAAUUUUCAUGGGCGACCUGCCCAAGUGAAAAACAACUUACUUGGCGAGAGGAUUUGGCUAGAGAUUUCUUAAUUGCAUGGUUGAGUCUAAAACUUCUUGAUCGUAGAGUGAAGACUUCGUGAUUACAUGGUUGAUUUUCUUAUGACAGGGUUGAAUAGAGAUUUCGUUUCCUAAUUUUUCCAUGUUAGACUUCUUGUUAUCUGUUGGGAGCUUUACUAUGCUCAUAACCUUGCUGGGUCUUCUUUGUUGGAGUCUUGCUGGUCUGGACGCUUCUUUUGCUAAAACCUUGUUGGGUGUUUCAUCAUUGGGAGCCUUGCUGACUCAGAACCUUGGUGAGUCUUUUUUUUUUAGUCUUGUUGGACUCUUUCUUUAUCACAACCUUGAUGGGUUUUUAAUUAUUAGGAGCCCUGCUGGACUCAAAACCUUGCUAGGUCCUUUUGUUGGACUCUUUCUUUAUCAAAAACCUUGUUGGGUUUUUAAUUGCUGAGAGCGUUGCAGGGCUCAAAGCCUUGCCAGGUCCCUUUUGCUGGUGUCUUGUUGGACUCUUUCUUGCUAAACCUUGGUGGGUUUAUCAUUAUCUUGAGCCUUUUUGGGCUUUGGAACUUUUGUAAACCCCAGGAAAUAAAUAAAUAAAUAAAAGUGAAGAAAUUCAUGCAUAUGGUUAAAUAAAAACAGGAAUUUAGAAAUUUUUGAAUAUAAAUUUCCGGACGAAAUAAUUCGAAACAUUAUAAUAAACCCGAUACUGUUAAGGGUUAGAUUUAAUUGAAGAGAAUAACACACUUAAAGGAAAUGGGGCCUAAAUGCAAAUAAGGGAAAUUAUAGAGUAUAAAUACCCUCUCCUCACCAAAAAUCUGCAGGAACCAUAAGGAAAGAAAACAGGGAGUUUUGUAUCCAUUCUUGCAAAAUCAAGAGAGAAACACUAAAAUUUCAAGAACCCAUCUAAGAUUAAGGGUUUAUAGAUGGGAUAAAAACUUGUGUGCAAGGGAUUAACAAGAAAAUUGAACAAGAAAAAGAGAAAGGAGGGAGUUGAAAAUCUUCAACUGGUUGAAGAUCAAAAUCUUAAUUCAUAUCGGGUAAGGUGUUCUAAACAUGAUCUUAAAAAUUCAUUUUAAAUUCGAUGAUGAAUUGAUGCCUUGAUAUUGAAUUAUAAGUUAGGGUUCUUAGACAUGAAUUGGGGAAAAAAUAUUUGUUGUUAAAAUUAAGUUAAUUCAUAUGUGGUAUAUAGUGUAUGAAAGUAUUGUGUGAAGGGAAGGGGGUAGCGAAUCUGGACAGGCUCGUCUCCUGAUUUUCGGUGAGAUUUCGGGUAGGAGGAUGAGAAAAUUAGGAUCAGGUUCCUUCAUAGAAAUUGUAGAUUUGGAUAUUAGCUAACCAAGGAAACUGGUCUUGCUCAAUUUAGAGAUGUAGAACUCCAUUUAUGGGUUACCAAUCGAGACUGAGUCGUGACUGAUUCUGUAGGGCAGUAGAACUGAUUAGUUGAUGAGUAAUUUUGACUAUCUUGGAGGCAGAACUGGGUUCUCCUUCCUUCAAAGAACUUGUAGCCUCGUGUCUUAGCUUUCUAACGAGAUUAAUCUCACUUAAAAUGGAGUUCUAAAACUCUAGAUAUAGUUAAAAAUCUGAUGAGUGUUCAGAUAGUAACAGUUGGACAACAACAGUUGGACAAUAACAGUUCAAUGUCUAAACAACAACGGUUGGACAGUAACAAUUGGACAGCAACAGUUGGACAUUAAUAGUUCAAUGUCUAGACAGUAACAGUUAGACAAUAACAGUUGAACAGUAACAAUUUAAUAUUUAGACAGCAACAGUUAGACAGUAAUAGUUGGACAAUAACAAUUCAAUGUCUAGACAGUAACAGUUCAAAGUUAGACAGUAACAAUAGACUUUCACGUGAAUAUUAUAUGUAAGAAUAUAAAAGAAUUAAGUCAUACGAACACUUGCACAUUGAGAUACUAACUUUGAAAAUAUACAUGAUAUAUGUAUGUUUGUUAUUAUGAGGAAAUGAACAUGCAUAGAAAGUAACAUAUAAGUAAUGAAUGAAUAUGGAUUCUCUAUAAUAUCGGCUUGAAGGAAUCAUAACCAAAAACUUCCUUGUGAUUCAGGAUGAGCAACCAAGAUUGGAUCUUCUGUUAGGAGAGGUCGCGAGACAGGUAAAGCAAGUGCGUGAUUUUCCCUCCUAUUAGUAGUUAUACAAUUUAAAAUUCUUCUGGUGAAUGCAAUUACAAUAAAUAUGAUGUUCAAUGUAAAUAAAUUCUAGUGUAUUUACAAGAUUAACUUCGGCUAAUGGCAUCCAUGAUAGGAAUGCCGGGAAAUGAAUUACAAGAUUAGCUUCGGCUAAUGGCAUCCGUGAUAGGAUUCACCCGGUUCAUGCAAGUAAAUAAGAGUAUUCAAAUUAAGAAUAUGCAAAUGAGUGUUAAUUGGGUUUAAAAGAUUUACAAGCAAAAUAUAAGUUGUCUGUUAGAAUUCUUGUGGAUCCGAUAGAAAAUUAAUACUUCAUUCAUAUACAUUACCUGAGCAUAUAUAUAUUUCUUUUAUCAACAUAAUGGUAUGUUUAUUUAUGUACCAGGUCUAUCAAAUAUCCAGGGAGAUCAUUAGUUUAGGACUCUACUUUGUCAAGCUUAUGUAAAUAUUUAACUUAAACAAAAGGGAAUUAACGCGUUUAUGUAGUAUGUUUUUUUUAUAAACCUUGAUGUAUAUAUAAAAGUUCAGCUUAGCAUGUAGUAUUUUAGUUAUCUUGUAAUUAACCCUUUUGAAAUGUUUAAGAACACUUAUUAUGUUGUAAAUGCUUUCUUUGCAUGGUAGUAUUCCUUUUCUUUUAAAUUUUAUGAUGAUUGAUAUAAGGUCCGGAAUUUUGGGACCUUAUGAUGAUGGGUUGAUUGAGUAAAUUGAUAGUAGUCGAUAACUUGGGAUGUACUAAAUACAAACGAAACUCUACCAAAUUUUUAGUAGAUUUAAAAAAAAAAGAAAUUUACCCUCAAAUUAAGAGAAUAUGUUGGGAUCUUUUAACAUUGAUCAAGUCGUACAGUUGGGUCCAUUACAACUUUGUUGGAUUCCUUCUUUGUUGAACCCUUGUUGGACUUUGAAAAUCAUAUCGAGCCUUACUUGGCUUAGAACCUUGUUAGGUUUUUGUUCGUUGGAGUUUGGUUAAACAUUAUUAAGGAUUAUUUCUUGUGAUAUUCCUUCGAAAACAUUAUGCAAUGAUUUGGAUUAAAUGACAUGCAUGCAUCCUUACCUGGUUGGAAAUAUAGGCCACCUUUUACUGCAAAUCAUCCUCUGAUUGGUAUAAAGGUUUGCUGUUUACCGAUCUGACCCUUUGGUUGCUCAGCUUAAAUCUUCAUCCUCCUCCGGCUUUGCCUAUAUGUUUAAUUACCUCUUCAUUAUAUCAUCCCACUUAAAUUUUUUACAUAUGAUCAAUUGUACUUGAUUUCCUCUUUGUUGCACAACUUGGGUCUUUAGGCAAUAAAUGAAGCUCUGCUUAGUCAUGAUGUUGCCUUUCUGGUUGGAUGGUGCCUUUAAUCAUGGAAGUCUUGCACCAUUGACCACUCAUUUUGAUGGAGAAGUGGUGCUCUAUUACUCUCAUUUUCUGAAGGAGUUCAUCAAAUCAUUUGUUGUCAAUGACUGUUGCAAAUUGCCUCCAACUAAUGUAUUCAUGUGAUAAUAUUUUUCAAGUAUCAUGCCAUCCUUCAAAAGGUAAACCAAAUUUUUAGAUAUAAAGAUUCCCCUUAAAUAUAGCAUUACUCUCAACUGUUGAUGGAGUUCAUCAAAUCAUAAACUGUCCUUAAGCAAAAUUAUCCUCAUAGUUGUGCUCAUUCUCUUACCUGUCAUCUAGAGGAAUUUUUCAUCGCCAAAUGUUGUUCAUAGUUUUGAUGGAUUUCACAGAAUCAUCAUUUGAUCAUGUGCUUCUUUCCCUCCUGGCUGAUCUAGAUAUUGUCUAUUAUCCCGCUGAGGAUCUACUACAUUGCCUUCUAGCAAGGACCUUGCGAACUCGGUCAAUGACCUUUUUUAUUUGAAAACCAUUUUCUUGUUUUGGAAUCAGCUUGCAAAUUUCAAGGAUCAUACUCAUUCAAGUCCAAUUGUUGCAAUUAAAUUAUGAGAUGUAAUUUUUGUGUGUUUUUGGUUGAGAAUUAACAGGGUAAAGGUUGAGAAAAAAGUGUUAGCUCAAAGUUGUGUUAUCCAUGGCUCAAAUGAAAUUUUUGCAAUUUGAAAACAAAAAUUUACCCGAUGUAAACUUAAAAUAAUUUUGUUUUGAAUUUCUUACAAUUCUCAAGGGUUUAAUCUCUUUUAGGAAAAAGAUGAUUUGGUCUAGUGAAGGUACAAGAUGAAGUGACCUUCUAUUUUUAUAGGUUUAAAGGCAAAAGGCUUAAGUAAAAACUCUAGAUUUUGUUGAAAAAAUUUCUCUUUUUUAGCACUUAUUUUAUUAGUAUUAAUAAUAAUGAGUAGCUUUGUUCGCAAUGUCAUGAUUCUUGUGAAAAUGUUCUUUUGUAUUUUGAGAACAUCAUUUAUUGGUCCAGAUUGCUUGCUUGUUUAAUUGGAAAAGACUUUUAAAGACACGUAAUGAGGCUAUAGCUUUCUUCUAUGAAAGAAAAAGAUUUGUAGGCUCAAAGAGUGUUUCAAGGUUUUAAAGACUUAAGAUCAUUGUCAUUGUAUCUUUCAAUGUUUUUCUUUCAUAUUUCUUUGAUAUUCCAUUUUAAUUGCUUUGGUAGGGCAUCCUUAUUUUGUUUUGACCUUGACUUGGUUAUUUUAUUAUUAUUAUUUUGGAAUACCCCCCAACAUUUGAAUUUUUUGGGCUCUUUGGCUUUUUCACAACCUCUCUUUGGUUCUAAUCUUUAAAUUUUUGUUUGCCCUCCAGUGUAGGGUGCGAUCAUAGUCAACAUACACCUUUGACUUUUGGAAUUCGCAUUUGCUCUCUAGUGUGGGAUGUGAUCCUAGUUAGGGUUUUUACAAAGAAAAACUUAUUCAAGCUUAAAUUGGGACCACAAGUGAUAUAUUUUAAAAUAUAAAAGGAUAACAAAAAUGGCAUUUCAUCAUUUCAAACACAUGCGAUUAGAACCAAUAUAUUUUGUCCUCCUUCAAUAUAAUUGUUCAGAACUUUUGUACAAGGACUUAUAUUCUUAUGACUCAAUAACUAGCCAAUCGAACUACAUGCGAUUAUGCAUACAACUACAAUAUGGCCCAGGAGACAUGAGGUGUGAGCUUUUUGUGUAUUUUUUAUUUUUCAUGUCUUGGUUCAAAAUUAUUUGGUCACCUCAAAAUGAGAAUUCAUUCAAUAACUUGUUUCUCAUCUUAUAAAUGGGUGUCUAAACAUUGUUUUAAGAGAAUAUCGAAUUAUUUAUAAAAUCAAAGGGCAAGUUCAAUUUUCAAGAUUGUUUUGGCAAAAGGGUUUUAACAAAAUUGACGUGGCCAACAUGUUUUGAAUGAUGUCAUGGAGUUAGUCAUGAGGGUCGGUUUUAUUUAUUUCAAAGGGUAGGGAUUUCCCCAUAGCAUCUUAUAUAACACACAUUGGGUUCGAUCAUUUCUGCCAUAAUAAUUAUGCAAUCAUUGACAACAAUAUAAUUCCAAGUUAUUUCUUUCACAAAAACAUCUUUUGAUUAAAAAAAAAAAACAAAGAGACUAAAAAGACAUGUUUCAUUAAAAGAUAUGAUGUAAUUCCAACACCAAAGUGCAGAAUAGCAAGGUUUGACAAAUACCACAAUCUUUAAUGGGUUGAAAUCCCUAGUGACAUCUAUAUCUUGUUAGUGUUUACCAACCACUUGUUGUGCUCAUGACGAUCCAGUGACAAUAUGGUGAAUGACAUUAUCCUUCACAAACUCAACUUGUCCCCUACUUCCCAGCUUUCAAAAUUGAUACCUUAAAUUCUUGUAGCUUUUGAUUGAAUGGUGGAGGAUCCCAUCAUGAUGUUCACACUUCUCAUUUUGAUUGUACCACCUAGGGAAUGGUGAUUUAUAGGAUCUAAUAAAACUGGGGUAAUAUAUCCGGUGUUCAAAAGAUGUUGGUAAAAUACCUUUGAGUAAUAAAGGUAAAAUCUUUGGCAGUGGCAUUUGAGCAGCCAAUGAUACAGUGAGAUCUAAUCAAACCAGAUUCUCAAUCUGAGAGCCAUUCCCCAGCCAUUCCCAAACUCAGAUUCUAUCAUGACUUUAGAGUUCACAAUUCUUGAUAGCUUGUUCAAUCCUUUCGGCCACAACCACUAGGUUGGUUAGUAAAGUGCUAGGUUGCACUUCCAAUCAAGAACUCAAAGUAAGGCAUUUUAAAAGUGUUGGUAAAUAAACUAGCCAUUUUGUUUUAUAGAAGAGGAGGAUCUAUAUGAGUAGCUACCCCAAACCACCUCUAGGCGUAUUCCCGAAUAUAUUCUCUAUCACCCAUUUCCAUAUCUUACAGGCUAGAUCUGUCUGGAGCGAUGUUCAUGUUGUACUCAUAUUGCUUAAUCAAAGUAUCUACGAGAUCUUUCCACUUCCAGAAUUUAAUGUUGUAUAGCCUCAUACAUUAGCCUAAUGUUGCCCCACUCAAAUUGUCAUGAAAGAAAUACAUCAGUAAUUUUUCAUCAUGCAUUACUUCUGCCAUCAUGUUGCAAUAAAACUUUGGAUAAGUGAUAGGAAAUUAAAUUCCAGUGUACUUUAUGAACUCGGGUAUGCGAAAUUUCUUUGGUAUAAUCACAUUCGGGGUUAAACACAUCUCGACAGCUUUAACAUCUUGAAAUUUCUUUGGUAUAAUCUCCACUCAUUUGAUAGGCCUUACCUUAGCUUCUAACGUUGUUAUUUUAUCAUGAUCAAUGUCCUUAGAGGAUUUUUAUCUUAUGGGAUUCAUUGGCGAAUGCAUCCAUAACUACUAGGGUCAAUACAGGUAUUAUUGAUUUCACAAAUAUUGUAUUACAUUAGGGUUCCUUACUCUGCCCACCCAACCUUUUUUCAGGUUGAAUUGUUGCGGAAGUCACAGGCUGAUUAAACAUGCAUUCACCAAAGGUAUUCUUGAGUGUUUGCUCGAGCAAGCUAAUGAGGCAGGCCAUAUUAACCUUCAUGGAAUCUAGCUUCUCUUGGAAGUAGACAUCAUAAUGAGCACGUUCUUCAUCUUCUAUGUUUUUUUAUUGGAGUCAGGUGUUGUUAACUUUAUGGAUUUGAGCUUUUUAGGGACCUAUAUUCCAACCUGUCAUAUGCUCACAUGACAUUUAAACCUCAAAGGAUAAAUGCAUGUAUGCUUAUAGAUGCAAGUAUAUGUACACAUACAUCAAAUAUGAAUUAAAUUGUUCAAAGGGGAACCCAUGACUUCUUUGUUGAAUACGGGCAAAAAUUCAUAGUCUAAUGAAUCUAAAAAAGAUAUUUCCCAAAUCCAUAUCUCAGUUAAAUUUCAUACACAUUGGAGAGUACAAAACAAAAAGAUGGGUUUGAGCCCUUUUCAUUAAAAAAAGACAAAAUGAUUUUUAUAUGUGGUAAAUUAUUGCACGUGUUCAUAAAAGGUUAUGGUCUUAACUUAGAAAGAUCUUGCAGAGUUCAGGAUUAUUGAUCACGUCUGCCUUGAUGCAAAAUGAAUUAUUAGGGAGUUUAUAUCUUAAGGUCAAUUCUAAGUCACUACAUAAAGGAUAAGAUUUCUACUUGGUCUCAAAAGAGUCUAUGACCUGCUCAGUGACCACCUUUCGUGAAGGCAAUAUAUGGGUUUAUAGCGAAUGGUUGGGGCAUAGUAUGACUACCAUUACCAUGUAAACGCUCAGCUCAUAGUUGGAUGUUUCACAAAUCUGAACCCCGACUGAAAGUCAUAAGGCAGACCAUUACUCCCCACCUAACCUAGAAUUGAGUUUAUUCAUAAAAUUAAAAUGCAUGAAGGCAUUAAUUCAUACCUAGUAUACCUAUGCAUGAGCAGUAUGUAAAAAAAUUCAUGUUAAAACAGUAUGUAAAAAUAUACAUGUUAAAAUUAAAUUAAACAAGCCAACAAAAAUAAACAAGCAAACAAUCAAACAAAAAAAGCUUAGUCCGACAAGACAAGUUCCCAAUGGACUUGCCAUCUUGUCAUUACAUGAACAACAUCGAAUGAUGGAUCUACCUCCUAGAAAUGUAGGGUGUUUGGGUUUAAUCAUAAAGUUAUGAUUAGAGGGAGUCGCCACCUAAUAUCAUGAUCAUUAGAAAACUUAUGGUUUAUGAGAGUAUGGAUAAGGGGACUAGUUGUGCAAGGAAAAGAUACAUCACCCCCAAUGCACCUUAUUUAUGAUAAGCUGCAUUAUUUAUUGAUUUUUAUUCUAAGUUGUAUUUUUAUCUGUUGGUUUUGUCUAAAGUUCAAGGUAGAUCUCCCUUCGUAAGGAAGUCUCUAUCUUAUUGGGUUAAAUUUUAACCGUUUAUGACCUAAAAUUUAGCAUGCACUUAUUUCCUAGAUACAACUGAUUCAUAACAUUUAUUGCUAUCAAUUCUUUUAAUCUAAUAAUGUAAGCAUGCAUAACAAUGUGAAGUUCAUACCCUAAGUAUUAAUUAAACAAAUUAGUCUUUGUGGUAUUUUUAAAAUUUUGAUCAAAUCUUAAUGGAUAAUUAUAAACUGGUUAUAAUAUCCAUUUUGUAUUUUUAAAACAUGAUAAAAAUGCAUUUGUUUUUAGGAAAUAUGCAAGAAACAUUUUAGAAUUUGGUUGUAUGUGACUAAAACAUUUGGUUAAUAAUUUUUUUUAUCUUUUUAUCUAUUCAUACUUUUCUUUUUCUCUUAUUCUUUUUUAUCAUUCAUUUAACCAAAAAUAAAAGGUAAUAAAAAGAAAACACAACUCUCUCUCUCUCUCUCUCUCUCUCUCUCUUCACUAUAUUUUACUCACACACCCUAUAAUUACAUGUUUACAAAUAAUAAAAAUUUAAAAUUUAAAAAUAAAUUCAAACACACUAAAAAUUUAAAAUUUGUGAAAUGAUCCUUCCAAAGCUUGGAAACAGGUUGGAGAGAUUGUUGGAAACUCAGGAACCACACUAGAAAGCUUCCAGAGUGGCGGAAAAGUGGCAGCGCAUGGGUUUGGGGUGGCUUCCUUUCUUUUUCCUCUCAGUGUUAAAAGUGAGUGUCAAUAACACCUAAAAAAAAACAAAAACCCACACACAAAGCAAUUGAUUUUAUCCACAAAUCUACUUUUCUCUUUUACUCUUCAUACAAAUAUAUCAAGCUAGAACUAGGCUUUCUUGUUGAUGGUGGAGGCUGCUGGUCCAUGCCGAUGUGAAGAGGACCUACUAGGGGUUGUUGAAAGGAGGUGUUGUACGAUGGAAGUUGAGAUAAAAAAAAAAAAAAAAGAGUUGCUGGAGGCGCUGGCGUUAAUGGCGGCCAAUAAUGGGUCUGUUGGUUUUGGUUUCCAUUGUGUUAGGGGGGUAGUUGCUUCCAUAGAGAAUAAGGGUUUUGACUAUAUGGGUGGUGGAAGCUAAGAGAGAGGGUUGUCGUUUUGGUUGAAAAUGAAAAGAGGCAAUAGCGGUAUUGGGAAACCGUAGAGGCUAAUCUCGGCUUGGUGGCUAACGUUGAUUAUAGUUGAAGGGGGUAGCCUUGGGUAUGAGGGAAGGCAUUGAUGUGGUGGUUCAGGUGGUUGGUGUGAAAAAUGAAAGAUGAAGUUAUAAGGGUCCAAAUGAGCUGAAGGGGCUAUCAGUUGAAGGGAAGGAAAGCGAUGCCUCAGCUGCUACAAUAAUGGUGGUUCAUCAUAGACGUUUGUGAUGGUUAUUGCUGCUCUUCUGCUGACAUUUUGGAUAAAGAAAGAUAAGGGUCACAGGUUGAAGCUGUUAUGAGUGCGUUGGUAGUGACUUAUGGAAGAAUUGAGGCUACGGUCAAUGCUUAUUUGUGGGGGAAAAAUGGGAGAGGGAUCAAGGAUAUUAAAGCUAUAAACUUGGCAUGUGAGGGAGCUACUAGGGUUGAAAAUGGUGGCUUUGGGUGCACUAGAAUGGUGGCGAUUAUGUUAAGAUGUAAAUGUGGGUCAAUUUCUUCUAGUUUGUGAGUGACGAUUGGUUGUAAAGAUUAGAGCUAGGUAUUAUUUUUUUUAUCUAGGGAGAGAAUGUGGGAACAACUUUUUUUUCUUUUUUUUUUAUCUUUUCUUUUCAGGUCUCUCCCCUCUUUUUUGUGUAAGAUUACCACCUAUUUAUAGGUGGAAAAUUUUAUCUUUUUCUCUAAUUGUUUGGUCCCCAAACAACAACAAAAAUACUUUGGUCCCUCAUUUUUUUUCCUUUGCAUUUUGGUCCCUUUGUUCAAAUAUUUUUUAUUUCUUAUUUGUCUUAUUUUUUUUAUUUUUUGAAAAAGGCAAUGUUAACUCGAUCAGAAAAAUCAACAAUUUUGAAAAUAACAUGUUAAAAGCUGAAAAGAAAUUUGAAAUAGUAGUAGUAGUGAAAACAACAACAACAACAACAAUAAUAAUACUUAUUACUAAUAGUAUUAAUAGUAAUGAUGAUGAUGAUGAUGAUAGUGAUAAUUCAUCAUUCAAUGUUAGGUUUUAUAGGGAUUGAGUUUCACUUUUUUCCAUGUAUGGUAGUGGUAGUUGUAGAAGUAGUAGUAGUUGUUGUUGUAAUAGUAUUAAUAGUAGUAGUAAUAAUAAUAAUAAUGGUGGUGGUGGUUAUAGCAAUAACAAUAAGAAUAACAAUAACAAUAAUAAUAAUAAUAAUAAUAAUAAUAAUAUUGUUUAUUAGAAGUAGUGGUGGUGGUGGUGGUGGUGAUAAUAGUGAUAAUUCAUCAUUUAGUGUUAGGUUUUUUUAGGGAUUGAGUUUCAUUGUUUUUCCAUGUAUAGUACUCCCAAUGUAAUAUCCCGAGUUACAAGUUUGAAAAGUUGAUGUGAUCUAACAUCUUUUUUUUUGUUUGCCUUAUUGGUUUUUUUUUUCAACAUUAAUUUUUUAAAUAAAAAAAGGCUUUGUGAUUUUCUUAAUUUAUUUUUAUCAGGUUAACCUAGUUUGAUAGCUUAGGCCACGAGUUUUAUAGGUUAACAUGAGUUAGCUAACAUCUUAUUACACAGCUUACAUCUCUAUCACGCCACCUCAGAUUGACUCGAUCUUUUUUUUUUUAUCCAAUUACAUACUUCUAGAGGGUUUUUUUUUUCAAGUUAUUGUGGUGUUUUUUGUGUGUGUUUCCUAUUGUUGUCAAUUUUUUUAUCUUUUAAUAAAAAUAAAAUCAAUUCAUUAAGCCCUAUCAAGAUAUAAUUUGAGUCAUUUAUUUUAAUUUUUUUUAUUUAAGACGUUCUCGCAACGUCUGAAACAUUAUUUUUUUUCACAUAUAAAAAUAUGGAUCCAUGCUUAGCAUGGAACAUAUCUAGUUUUACCUAUAUUCUUUGAAAUGACAUAUUCAUUCCCCAAAAUGAGAGUUUGUGGGAAUGUUAUAAUUCAUGAUGGCAACGUCAUUAAAAUAUUAUGUGAUUCAAAUGAAAAAAGUUACGUGUGAAAAAAUUAUUAAACAUUAUUAUCAUGUUAAAUAAACAAAGGAAGUGGGUUCAAUUUGAAAAUAUUUUUACAUAAAGACGCAUAUAUAAAACUGAGUUUGGGAAUCAAGACUGGGCUCUGCAGAAUAUCCAGUCUUCUAUUCGGCUCCUCGAGGAUCAGGCUGAAAGUGGUAAGCUGUCUGACUCUGAAAGAAAAAGGCUAUAUGAGCUGAAGGGUAAGCAAUGGAAACUCUGCAGAUAUGUCGAAUCAAUAUGGAGAUAAAAGGCUAAACAGUCUUGGCUCAAGUUGGGGGACAAAAACACUUGUUUCUUCCACAUCUCAGCAAAAGUCAGGGGAUGCAAAAACUAUAUUCGUCAGAUUAUAUAUAACGGGAAGAUUCUCUCCAGUCCAACUGAAAUCAAAAAAGGAGCCAAAGCAUACUUCUCAAACAUCUACUCUGAAUCCCUGACUCCAAGACCCACGAUGGGUACUGCAGACUUUAAGAAGCUUAGUGAGAACUAGGCUGCAUGGCUUGAAAGAGAUGUUACCAUAGAAGAGGUUCACUUGGCCAUCUUCAGCAGUGAAGGCUCCAAGGCCCCAGGACUUGACGGUUUCAACUUCAAUUUUUAUAAGAAGUUUUGGGAGUUAAUGAAUCACAAAUUAUUCACAAUGGUUCUUGAAUUCUUCAGGAGAGGUCACCUUCCUAAAGGUAUUAACACCAGUUAUAUUGCUUUAAUUCCAAAAGUUGCUGGCAGUUCCUCUUUUAAUGAUUAUAGACCUAUUAGUUUAUUAAAUGAGAUAUAUAAGAUUAUUGUUAAGAUUCUCACUACUAGGCUAAAAGAAGUUAUGCAGAGUGUGGUUAGUCCCUCCCAAUCAGCUUUCAUUGCUAGCAAAAACAUCCUGGACUCAGUCCUUAUUGCCAAUGAAAUGCUGGAUUCCAUGAAAUCUCGGAGAUGUCAAGGUUUCCUUCUUAAACUUGAUUUCAGAAAAGCUUUUGACACCGUGUCCUGGUCUUAUCUUAAUGAUGUUAUAGGCUACAUGAAAUUUAGUGCUCGAUGGAGGAAAUGGAUUAUGGCAUGUGUCUCGACUGCAAGACUAUCAGUUUUAAUCAAUGGUUCCCCUACUUCUGAGUUCACAACAUCUUGUGGUCUUCGGCAGGGGGAUCCCCUCUCCCCUUUUCUCUUUUGUUUGGUUGCUGAAGGCAUCUCAGUUUUCAUUAGAAAGAGCUUGAAAAUGGGUGCUCUGUAUGACAUGGAUUCUGCAGGAAUAAAAGAUAUUCAUCAUCUGUAAUUUGCAGAUGACACUCUUCUCUUCCUACCAAAUGAUCUUCAAUGCCUGCUAAAUGCCAAGAGAAUGUUACAAUGGUUCAAUUUAUGCUCAGGGCUCAAUGUCAACUUCCAUAAGAGUAGUUUGGUGGGUGUGAAUGUUGAUGAGAUAUAUGCUGAAGGGAUUUCUAAUGUCAACUUCCAUAAGAGUAGUUUGGUGGGUGUGAAUGUUGAUGAGAUAUAUGCUGAAGGGAUUUCUGGUGUUCUCAGGUGUAAAUGUGAUACUCUUCCAAUCAAACACUUGGGGCUCCCUCUAGGUGCUAAUCCCAAUAGGAUUUCCACAUGGAAACCUGUUCUCUCACAGAUUCGAGGGUGGCUCAACUCUUGGAAGGGGCAGCUAUUAUCGAUGGCGGAAAGAGCAAUUUUGAUCAAAAGUGUAAUCUUUACCAUUCGUCUCUAUUACAUGUCCAUCUUCUGCAUUCCAAAGACAGUGGCCCGUAAGAUCACAACCAUGCAAUCUCGGUUUUUGUGAGGUGGGAGUGUUGAUAACAGGAAAAUUCAUAGGCUUGCUUGGGAUACAGUGGUAAAAGAAAAGGACAGGGGCGGUCUGGGUGUUGGGAAUAUAUCGGCAAAAAACAAAGCUCUCCUCUUCAAGUGGAUUUGGAAAUUAGGAAGCAAUGACAAAGCUAGUUGGGUAGACACAUUCUAAACCUGUAGGAGGACUGGUGCCCUUUUUGUGAGCAACAUUCAGAAAUUGUCUUCCACAUCCUCAUGCAUUGCCCAGUCGUCUAGAAACUAUGGAAUAAAAUUGUAGCCUGAAGAGGUCUGAGCUGGGUAAUGCCAUAUGCCCUUGACGACCUUCAAUAUCAAUGGUUAGGUCUUCUGCAGGGCAAUCAUUGUAAGUUUGAAAGAUCUCUUUAGGGGGGCGCUUUAUGUUAAGCAUUGUCUGGACUAUGUGGAAUGCUAGAAACACCUUGAUAUUUGAGGAAAAAUAGCCAAUUUGGACAGAUAUCCUAUGGCUUUUGUUUUACUUUGCUGCAGGCUGGAUCAGAAAUCUGAACUCUUCUUUUUGGUAUACCGGUGCUGAUCUAUAUAGGAAUCACGAAUGCAUUUCAGCUUAAUCUGCUUAAGUUUUGAUUUCGUGUGGUUUUGUAUUACCUGCUUUAUUAGUAGAGUCUUAUGUUUCCUUAUAUUUCUUUUUGGUAAUUAGACUGAUGCCUAGGCUACAAUCUAUAUAGCUAAAACUUUGUCUACAUUGAUCAGGUUUUCUCUCUUUAUUAUAUAUCUAUUCUCGAUUUCACCAAAAAAAAAGAUGCAUAUGCAUGAUAUUUUGGAUAUUGCUUUUUUACUAAAAAAAUAAAAUACAAAGACAAGGAAUUUUUAGGUCGCUUGUAGGUCUUUAAGACCAAAUAAUAUAGAUUAAUGUAUUUUCAGCACUUGUUUUCGGCUUGAAUUUAUUUAACUUAAGCUCAUAAUUGUUAGUAAAUUAUGAGUUGGCUUUAGAGCCCACACACAUUAUAAUAUUUCGCGCAUUUUCUACAAGUAAAAUAUGUCUAGAAACAAAAACAAGAAGAAGAAGAAAAACGAAAAUAUUCUUUGAUGUGUCAACCAAGCACUCAUUGCUUGCCAUGUGCUAAGGCUGGCCCGUCACUCUCCCUGUUCAUGCAUGAAAUUCUCCAGGCUAAGCAUCAGAACAAGACUCUUCUCAACUCUGUCUGUCAUUAUCUUCAACUGGGCUCGGAAUGUACACUUUAAUGGCGUCAUGGUUCACAGUUCACACGUAAGCAAAAUGCAAGGUUCUCCCUUCGAUAUAUUCCACAAUAAACAACAUUUGGAAUCCAAGCUUCCUCGAAAUACAAAAUUCGAUUCGAAAAGGAAAGUCACAGAAAAUGCAAGGUGCAUGAGAAAAGAAUAAAGCAUGUUUCAUCUAUAUUCGAACCACGAUCGCAAGUAUAUGGCAGCUAUAUAUAUUUGAUUCUCUGUUAAUUUUUUAUCUAAUUAGACAACACUAGUUUUAAUGCACGCGGUGUUGGUGUGGUUUAUAAAUAAAUAAAUAAAUAAAAAGAUGUUUAUCCCACAUUAAAAACAAACACUUCCUUCUAAUCUCAAAAGUAUAGGUUUCUAUUAUGUAGUAAAUUAAGUCAUGGUGGACGAACUCUCUUAUUUAUCUUUCUAAUGCUAUUAUAUGGAUAUUUAUAAUAUCAAAAGAUAGCAUUUGAAACUUAAAACUUGUAACUUAAUAUGAACAGUUAUAUUAUUUCAUGAAUAGUCAUAUUGUUUGAUGAACAGUCAUAUUUGAUGAACAAUCAUAUUGUUUAAUGAACAGUCUUAGAGUUUCAUCAACAAUUAUAUUGUUUGAUGAACAAUCAUAAUGUAACAGUGAUACUAUUUCAUCAUUAUGUUUCAAGUCUAUAAAAGCCUGUUACUACACAAAAAAAAAACAUAUAUUCUUUCUUGGUCUUAUCUUCUCAUUCUUUUAGAGGUUUAGAUGGUUUAAUUGUAUCCUUGAGGUGUUGUCUUUAUGUGGAACAAAUAAACACCUUAAAGAAAAAUGUUUUUAUACCUCUAAGUCAACUUCAUAUUUGUUUUCAUUCUAAAUAUUUCUUUCACGUUGUAUAAUUAAAAUAAAUAUUAGUAAUUUAAAUUAUGUUGGAAAAAUAUAUUUUUCUUGUUAAACUUAUUAUAUUUUAUUUAUGCAUAUUUACAUAACAAUUAUUUUUAAUUGACAACAAGUUAUUUGAUAAAAAAAACUUCAAGUAAUUAAAGUUAAUAUCAUAAAAAACCAAAAAGUCAAAUUAAAUGGGAAAAUAUAUUUCUUUAGCUAAAAUUCUCUUUUUAUUAUUUAUUAAUUUAUUAUUAAUUUUAGCAUAAAUAUUUUUUUUAUUAGAAGCAUGAUUUUCCAAAAACAAAACUUAUCAUUAUUUGUAAAACAAUUUUAAACCAAGAAAUAAUAAAUAAUAUUUCAAAUAUUUGUAUGCAAUCACAAUGAAAAAUUAAAAAAAUUAAUUUCAAAAACUAAUAUAAAAAAUGAUAAUAAAUAUUAUUUUAUACUCAUUGGAUAUUUAUAUGUAAUUUUUUAAACUUGUGUUUAUCAAUUUCAUAUAUAAUUAUAAAUAAAGUAAAUAUAACUAUAAAAAGAUUAAAUAUUAUUUAAAAAUAAUGGCAUAAUAGAAUAAUUUUUUAAAUAUUCUUUUACUUAUUUAUUUAAAUAGGAUUUAAUUUGAAAAAAAAUUCUUUUUUUUUAAGAAAAAAGAGAAGGACCUAAAGAAUAUAGUAGAAUCUAGUGCAACAAUGCCUAAACAACACGGAUAAAUUGGUAUGUUAAAUAAAAAUUUAGGAAUCAUAUUGAUUUUUUUUUCAUUAAAAUAAAAAAGAAUCUUUUUUUUUUGUAUUUUUCAUAUACUUUGAUCCUUGUUCUUUCAAAUAUAAGCUUCAAUUAUGUUUAAAAAAAAUGUUCUUUAAUUCAGUUUCAGAAUUUUCUCAAACUAUUGAAUAAGUUAUUGCAUGCAAAGAAAAGAAAAUUACAAUGUUUAAAAUGACUCUAACAUAACAUGCGAGUAUAAAAUUGCAUUGGAAUAAAAUAAAGUUUGAUGAUCAAAAUAAUAAUAAAAAAAAAAAACAAUAUUGUUCAUCGAAGAGUGUCGUAUACAAUGAUUUUAGGCAAGUGAAUUAAAAUGAACAGUAAAAAAUCAAUACAAUAAUCAAAUAAACAAAUUAUUUCAACACAUUUUAAAUAAAACUAGUUAUUUGACACACACUUCAUCAAAGAAUGAAAUGCUUCUUUUCAGCAAAAACAAAUAAAUAAACAUGCAUGCUUUCAAUGUGUUUUUUUUAUUAAAAAAAUCCUAAUCAUAAAUUAAAAAAAAACUUAUGCAUACAUUUAGUUAAAUAAAUCAAGAACUAUUUGUGCCAAUAAAUAUAAAAAAAAAUAAAAUAUUAACAUGUCUACUCAACUCACUUUUCUGUGGGUUAAAUAUUUUCUUUUCUAACACAAAAGAAUAAAUGUAUAGUUAUUGUUAACAUUUUUUUUGAAAUCAAGAAAAAAAAAUUAUGGAUUAAAAUAUAAUAUAAUAAAGAGAAUCAUAUACAUUAAUAAAUAUAAAAAAGAGUUGUAAACAUAAAACCGUGUGUAGGAUGUGAACUUAAUUUUUACCAAAGUAGAAAAAUUAGACAAUAUUAAGAGUAUGAUUUACUGUAUCAUAAUUUUCUUAACUGAGAUAUGUAAGGACACUAUUUAUGUUAAAGGAGAUAGAUCUUAAAUAACAAAGCUCUCCUCUUCAAGUGGAUUUGGAAAUUAGGAAGCAAUGACAAAGCUAGUUGGGCAGACUUCAUUAAGGAAAAAUAUAGUCCACAAUUCAUAAACGGGAUGCCCCAAUUCAGGAAAAAACUUUCAAGGAUCUGGCGAGGAAUCAGCUCUACCAUUACUAGUACGGAUCUUGAUAGCUCUCUUAUUUGAGUUGGCUGUAAACUUAAAAUGGGUAAUGGUAACCAUGUUAAUUUUUGGUCAGAUACUUGGUGGACCGGUUUCUGUUUAGCUAACUCUUAUCUGGCUCUUUUUCGCAUGUCCUCCUCUAAAACAGGGAUAGUUAGUCAUAUGGGAUACUGGAUAGAGGAUACUUGGCAUUGGAAUCUGAAAUGGAUAAGGCCCCUCAGUAUUAGUGAGAACCUGCUGUUUCAAACAUUAUUGUCUGAUCUUAAUCUUGCAGUUAUUCAUCGAUUGAAAGAAGACAGGUUGAUUUUGGAAUGGGGGAAGGAUAGAGGCUAUACUGUAAACUCUUGUAUGCUUGCCCUUGAAAGGAUCAGGUAUGCUGGAUCUACAAAUUAUGUCACAGAUGUUUGGAAAUCCAUUUGCCCUCCAAAAACAUAAAUGACUUUAUGGCUGGCCUUAAAUGAAGGCCUUUACAGAAGAGCCUUCCUGGUGAAGAGACACAUUCUAAGCCCGUAAGAGGACUGGUGCCCUUUUUGUGAGCAACAUUCAGAAAUUGUCUUCCACAUCCUCAUGCAUUGCCCAGUCGUCUAGAAACUAUGGAAUAAAAUUGUAGCCUGGAGAGGUCUGAGCUAGGUAAUGCCAUAUGCCCUUGACGACCUUCAAUAUCAAUGGUUAGGUCUUCUACAGGGCAAACAUUGUAAGUUUGAAAGAUCUCUUUGGGGGGGGUUUUAUGUUAAGCAUUGUCUGGACUAUAUAUGUGGAAUGCUAGAAACACCUUGAUAUUUGAGGAAAAAUAGCCAAUUUGGGCAGAUAUCCUAUGGCUUUUGUUUUACUUUGCUGCAGGCUGGAUCAGAAAUCUGAACUCUUCUUUUUGGUAUAUCGGUGCUGAUCUGUAUAGGAAUCACGAACGCAUUUCAGCUUGGUCUGCUUAAGUUUUGAUUUCGUGUGGUUUUGUAUUGCUUGCUUUAUUAGUAGAGUCUUAUGUUUCCUUAUAUUUCUUUUUUGUAAUUAGGCUGAUUCCUAGGCUACAACCUAUGUAGCUAAAACUUUGCCUACAUUAAUCAGGUUUUCUCUCUUUAUUAUAUAUCUAUUCUCGAUUUCACAAAAAAAAAGAUGCAUAUGCAUGAUAUUUUGGAUAUCGCAUUUUUACUAAAAAAUAAAAUACAAAGACAAGGAAUUUUUAGGUCACUUGUAGGUCUUUAAGACCAAAUAAUAUAGAUUAAUGUAUUUUCAGCACUUGUUUUCGGCUUGAAUUUAUUUAACUUAAGCUCAUAAUUGUUAGUGAAUUAUGAGUUGGCUUUAGAGCCCACACACAUUAUAAUAUUUCGCGCAUUUUCUACAAGUAAAAUAUGUCUAGAAACAAAAACAAGAAGAAGAAGAAAAACGAAAAUAUUCUUUGAUGUGUCAACCAAGCACUCAUUGCUUGCCAUGUGCUAAGGCUGGCCCGUCACUCUCCCUGUUCAUGCAUGAAAUUCUCCAGGCUAAGCAUCAGAACAAGACUCUUCUCAACUCUGUCUGUCAUUAUCUUCAACUGGGCUCGCAAUGUACACUUUAAUGGCGUCAUGGUUCACAGUUCACACGUAAGCAAAAUGCAAGGUUCUCCCUUCGAUAUAUUCCACAAUAAACAACAUUUGGAAUCCAAGCUUCCUCGAAAUACAAAAUUCGAUUCGAAAAGGAACGUCACAGAAAAUGCAAGGUGCAUGAGAAAAGAAUAAAGCAUGUUUCAUCUAUAUUCGAACCACGAUCGCAAGUAUAUGGCAGCUAUAUAUAUUUGAUUCUCUGUUAAUUUUUUAUCUAAUUAGACAACACUAGUUUUAAUGCACGCUGUGUUGGUGUGGUUUAUAAAUAAAUAAAUAAAUAAAAAGAUAUUUAUCCCACAUUAAAAACAAACACUUCCUCCUAAUCUCAAAAGUAUAGGUUUCUAUUAUGUAGUAAAUUAAGUCAUGGUGGACGAACUCUCUUAUUUAUCUUCCUAAUGCUAUUAUAUGGAUAUUUAUAAUAUCAAAAGAUAGCAUUUGAAACUUGAAACUUGUAACUUAAUAUGAACAGUUAUAUUGUUUCAUGAAUAGUCAUAUUGUUUGAUGAACAGUCAUAUUUGAUGAAAAAUCGUAUUGCUUAAUGAACAGUCUUAGAGUUUCAUCAACAAUUAUAUUGUUUGAUGAACAAUCAUAAUGUAAUAGUGAUAUUAUUUCAUCAUUAUGUUUCAAGUCUAUAAAAGCAUGUUACUACACGGAAAAGAAAACACAAAAAAAAACAUAUAUUCUUUCUUGGUCUUAUCUUCUCAUUCUUUUAGAGGUUUAGAUAGUUUAAUUGUAUCCUUGAAGUAUUGUCUCUAUGUAGAACAAAUAAACACCUUAAAAAAAAAUGUUUUUAUACCUCUAAGUCAACUUCAUAUUUGUUUCCAUUCUAAAUUUUUGUUUCACGCUGUAUAAUUAAAAUAAAUAUUAGUAAUUUAAAUUAUGUUGGAAAAAAAUAUUUUUCUUGUUAAACUUAUUAUAUUUUAUUUAUGCAUAUUUACAUAACAAUUAUUUUUAAUUGACAACAAGUUAUUUGAUAAAAAAAACUUCGAGUAAUUAAAGUUAAUAUCAUAAAAAACCAAAAAGUCAAAUUAAAUGGGAAAAUAUAUUUCUUUAGCUAAAAUUCUCUUUUUAUUAUUUAUUAAUUUAUUAUUAAUUUUAGCAUAAAUAUUUUUUUUUAUUAGAAGCAUGAUUUUCCAAAAACAAAACUUAUCAUUAUUUGUAAAACAAUUUUAAACCAAGAAAUAAUAAAUAAUAUUUCAAAUAUUUGUAUGCAAUCACAAUGAAAAAUUAAAAAAAAUUAAUUUCAAAAACUAAUAUAAAAAAUGAUAAUAAAUAUUAUUUUAUACUCAUUGGAUAUUUAUAUGUAAUUUUUUAAACUUGUGUUUAUCAAUUUCAUAUAUAAUUAUAAAUAAAGUAAAUAUAACUAUAAAAAGAUUAAAUAUUAUUUAAAAAUAAUGGCAUAAUAGAAUAAUUUUUUAAAUAUUCUUUUACUUAUUUAUUUAAAUAGGAUUUAAUUUGAAAAAAAUGCUUUUUUUAAGAAAAAAGAGAAGGACCUAAAGAAUAUAGUCGAAUCUAGUGCAACAAUGCCUAAACAACACGGAUAAAUUGGUAUGUGAAAUAAAAAUUUAGGAAUCAUAUUGAUUUUUUUUUUCAUUAAAAUAAAAAAGAAUCUUUUUUUUUUUUGUAUUUUUCAUAUACUUUGGUCCUUGUUCUUUCAAAUAUAAGCUUCAAUUAUGUUUCAAAAAAAAAUGUUCUUUAAUUCAGUUUCAGAAUUUUCUCAAACUAUUGAAUAAGUUAUUGCAUGCAAAAAAAAGAAAAUUACAAUGUUUAAAAUGACUCUAACAUAACAUGCGAGGAUAAAAUUGCAUUGGAAUAAAAUAAAGUUUGAUGAUCAAAAUAAUAAUAAUAAAAAAAAACAAUAUUAUUCAUUGAAGAGUGUCGUAUACAAUGAUUUUAGGCAAGUGAAUUAAAAUAAACAGUAAAAAAUCAAUACAAUAAUCAAAUAAACAAAUUAUUUAAACACAUUUUAAAUAAAACUAGUUAUUUGACGUACACUUCAUCAAGGAAUGAAAUGCUUUUUUUCAGCAAAUAAAUAAAUAUGCAUGCUUUCAAUGUGUUUUUUUUAUUAAAAAAAUCAUAAUCAUAAAUUAAAAAAAAAAAAAACUGAUGCAUACAUUUAGUUAAAUAAAUCAAGAAUUAUUUGUGCCAAUAAAUGUAAAAAAAUAAAAUAUUAACAUGUUUAUUCAACUCACUUUUCUGUGGGUUAAAUAUUUUCUUUGCUAACGCAAAAGAAUGAAUGUAUAGUUAUUGUUAACAUAUUUUUUGAAAUCAAGAAAAAAAAAUUAUGGAUUAAAAAAUUGAUACUAAGAGAAUUAUAUACAUUAAUAAAUAUAAAAAAGAGUUGUAAACAUAAAACCGCGUGUAGGAUGUGAACUUAAUUUUUACCAAAGUAGAAAAAUUAGACAAUAUUAAGAGUAUGAUUUACUGUAUCAUAAUUUUCUUAAUUAAGAUAUGUAAGGACACUAUUUAUGUUAAAGGAGAUAAAUCUUAAAAUGUAUGAAUUAAUAAACUAAGAAAGAGCUGCUAAUACUAAUAAAAUUCUAAAAUAAAAUAUAAUAAUCUUUAUAAAAGUAAAAGAUAGAUAAAUAUGAUAUUAAACCCAACUUUCUCCAUUAAUGCACAUGUUUUGUUUUUAUCUUAAAGGUCAUUUUUUCUUACCAAAAACAAAUAAUUUUUAUUUAUAUAAAACAAAAAAAAUUAUAAAUGAAUUAAAAUAAUCUUUUUAAAAUAUUAAAUACAUAUAAAAUAAUUAAAAAAAACAACUUCUAUUUAAAAAGGAUAAAUAAACAAUCUAAAAUAUCAGAGAGAAUCAACAUAAAUUUAAAUAUAAAUUAAAAAAAAUGUCAUUUUAAAAGAUACAUAAAAAACAAGUAUCAAUAACAAAAAUAGAAAAAAAAGGUUAGGCAUUUAUGGGCAUGGCGCACUCCUAAACCAUUUUGAAAAAGGGCAUGUGCGUAGAUCUACAAUGACAAGCUCAUGUGUAUGGGUUUUUAUUUUUUUAUUUGGAAAUAGGAUAGACAACAUGUUGUCCACCUCGAAAGAUUUUGAAAAAAAAUUAAAGAUAAGCAAUGCAUCGCCUAGUUUUCACUAUGAAUUGUUAAAGUGAAAACACCAACUAGAGUGAAAACACCACAUAUUUUAAAGUUUAUGUUAAUAAUAUUACAAGUAAGGACAAUUGCAUUAUUAGUACAUUAAUUCUACAUAUUUUUUCGAUCAAGUACAUGAAUUUUAAUUUUUUUAACAUUUGAGUACAUAUACUUUUUAAGAUAUUUUAAUUAAUUACAUCCAUCAACCUUUCAUCAACUUUUUUUUUUAUUUGAUGACGUGCAAUUUGCCCUUAGUCGUAAAAAUAAAUUUUAAUUUUGUUUAUUUUGAUACACUAAUAUUUUUUUAUUAUCCCAAUCAAAUACUUUAGUAAAUUUUUAAUUUUCUACAUGAAGACUAAGAUCUAUUUAUAAAUAAUUAAAAGUAGUAAAUAAAUUAUUAAUACACGAAAUUUAUUAGUUUGAUGUGGCACCUUUACUCGUUUUUAAAUUGACUAGUUUUUUGUUUACUCAAGUAGUUUUCUAUAUGUUCUCUCUCUAUCAUGAUUUCAUCAACUCUCCUUUCAUAUUACAAUCACAUGAUGUUCAUUUAUAUGGUUAAAAUAAUAAAUGUUUUUAUUAUAUUAAUAAUGUAUUGUUAGUUUAAAUUAAUUAUAAAAUAAUUUUAAUUAAUUAUACAAUGAAUUUUUGUAUUCAUGUAGACAACUUACCAUGAAUGAAAAGAGUUAACAUCUUAAAGUAUUUAAUUUAAGAUUUUUUAAAGAAUUUAUUUUAAGUUAAAAUAUUUUUAUUUAUUAAAAAAGCUUAUUUUAGAGGGCAUUUUAUUAUAAAAAACAAAACAUAUUAAAAAAUGAAAAUUUGACUAAACUACUUGUUUGGAACAAUAAAAAACAUUGGUAUAUCAAAAUAAUAAAAAAAAAUAAAUUUUAUGUGCUUUAUUGAUAUAAAAUAAAAGUUGGAGCAACAAUAGAGAUUUAAGAGUGAAUAAUUUAAGAUUGAAAAAUAAUAGUGUACUCAGAUGAAAAAUAUUAAAGCUUAUGUAUUCAAUUCAGAAAGAGGUGUAAAGUUAAUGUAUUGAUUAUUCCUAAUGUAUGAUUAUUCCUUUUAUAUAUAUAUAUUUGAGAUUGUUGUAGAGAUUUAUUUUCAAAGUGUUUUUACUUGAAAAUAUAUCAAAAUAUUAUUAUUUUUAUUUUUUAAAAAAAUUAAUUUUGAUAUCAGCAUAUCAAAACAUGAAAAAAAUAAUUUGAAAAAAAAUCAAUUUUUUUUUAAAACGGUUGGACCGCAAAAACAAACAAAAUUAUAGAUGGAUAGUGUUUUCUAUUUUAUCAAUAAAAAUAGAUGUUUUUUUUAUUUGAAAUAAAAUGUGUGUUGUGAUUGAAUUACAAGUGUUUGAUUGAAAAUAUGAUAAAAGUUGUUUUUCAAAGUGUUAUUUUGAUUGAAAAUAUAUUAAAAUAUAUUUUUAAAAAAAAUAUUUUAGAUAUCAGUAUAUCAAAAUGAUAAAAAAUAUUAAUUUAAUACUUUAAAAUUUCAAAAAUAUAAUUGAACAAACAUCACCUAAAUAUAUUAACAAAUGAUACUAAUAUAAAAAUAUAUGUUGUCAUAUAAAAUGUGUCAAUGGUAAGACAUGAACCCCAUACUUGGAGCCUUUUGGACUCUUGUUAAAGCUGCCGUGUUGUGUUAUGAGAUUACACAUAUUAAAUAUUGAGUAAUGAAUUAUUAUAUUGUGUUGUUAUUAUAAUUAUAAUUAUAAUUAAAAACAUAAUUUGAAUUAAUAAAUUUCUUUAAAAAAUAACUAAAUGAAUUUCUUAAGAAAUAAAUUCUUUCUUAAAGAACACACAAAUAUCAUAAAAAAACAUAAAUAAAAAAGAAAAAAUAAUCAAAACAUUAAAUUUAUUUUUUUAAUAAUAGAACAACUAAAUAAUUUAAUUAGGAUUUAUACAAGUUGAGAGCUAAUAUACUUAAAAUACAAUAAUGAAGUUUGUUUAAUUUUAAAAUAUUUAAGGUUAUUAAAUAUGUAAUUAUGUACAAAAUAAAAAUGAUUGAAGUUAGUUAAUUUUCAAAUAUUUAAUAUUAUUUUUAUUUUUAAAUAAAACAAAAAAAAAUUAAUUUCUAAAACAUUGCUAAUAUACAUUUAACCUAAUUUUAUAAAAAAAAAUAAUUUUCAUUCUCAAAAUUUAAAUAAUCAAUUUUUAAAAUCUUAAAUAAUCACUUUUAUAUAUAUUAUUUUGAAACAAAACAAUAAAAAGUGUAAAAAACAAGAAGAUAGACGAACUCUUGCGACGAUGAGUGUACCCUCCUUAUCCUCAAAAGAGAAUAUAAGGAAACCUUAUCUUUAAGGAUAUUGUGCCAAUUAAAAAAGAAAGUUCCACGUGCGUGCUCUGCCUAAUUAAAAAAGCUAAAAAAAAAUAUUAUUUUAUUUGGUAUUAUAAUAAUGUUGUUUUUUAAAUAUAUGUUUUUAAAAAUAUAUUAAAAUAAUAUUUUUUAUUUUUAAAUUUAUUUUUGAUAAUAGUAUAUUAAAUCAAUAUGAAAAUAUUAAAAAAAUUAAUUUGAGAAAAAUAUAAAUAUUUCUUAAGAAUAUUUUUGAAAAGCAAAAGUAAAUAUAUUUUUACACUUGAGGCCCAUCAAUAUUCCUUUCCCAUCCUUAUAGUGUAAAAUAACCUAAUAUUAACCCUAAACUUAAUGCUUCCCCUUUUUACUCCAUAACUAAGAAAAACUAACCUUUUUUUUUUCAUUUUUUUCCGCAUCGCUUUUUAGUUUCUCUCAUUUUUUUCCGCAUUUAAACUCUUGGAAACUAUGAGGAUAAAAUUGAAUUUAAAAAUAUAUAUAUAUAUAUAUAUAUAUAGAGGAAGAAAUGGAACACUAACGAAUCUACAGUGGAAAAAAUGAAGUUUACUCAAGAAAAAGAAUAAAGAGGGUAGGUAUAUAUAACCAAUAAUAGGAAAAGUUAAUGGACUCUUUAGGUCAGUUCACUGUCAAUCAACUGUUAAGCUGAUCUGUAAUCCACAACUAUGAGGAAUCUAGCCAAUAGGAAUAGAACAUGACAAGACCCCAUUAACUCUCUCAGGCCAUUUCGUUCUUCAUUUCUUCUAUAUAUACAUGCGCAAGGUCCCUGCUUUCAUCUAAUAUCUUACCCUAAAUAAUAUCACAAAAAAUAUCCAUUCAUUCAUUCUUUUGUAAUUACCAAGAUGAAGCCACAUAAUCUCUCCAGCGAUGGUUCUCUUCCUCGUGAUGCGAAGAGAACAAUUGCAGAGAGGCUCAAGCAGGCUAUUGAUGCGGCUACUGUCUCCAUGACCAUGGCUCGGAACGGGGCUGGUGAGGGAAACAGUGCUCUCUUAUAUUCAAAAGAAAUCGAAAGACGAAAUUGGAGCUCUCAGGCAGAGGACCCUAUAAGAACUAUGAUGUUCUUAGGGUCAUGGGGCCAUACAUGAAUAAGCUCUCUUGCUUGACUCUGAUCAAACCAAAUAUUGUUGAGUUGGAUGAUUAAUUGGUGUGCAAGAUCAACAAGUCAUUUAACUAAUUGAAUAUGUAUGUAAAUAAUCAUGUGUAUGAUAUGGCUGAUUCUUGGGAAAGAGCAAGUGGACGUGUUUCAGCCAAAGCUUUCAAGAACUAUUAAUUGAGCUGUAAUGCCCGUAAGAGAACGAUUUCUUGAUCUGUUCUUCCGGUAAAAUGAAAUAUGUCGCCUUUGCUUCAUGCUAUGUGACAAUUGCUACCAUAAAGUUGCUGCAUCUUUGUGAUAAACAGCUGGAAUUCUCUUCUGUUUCUCCUUUUCUUCUUGUGUAAUUGUGAACAAAAUUUGGUUGAAAAGGUUUGGAAGGAUUAUCUUUUGAAUCCCACAAUUGGUGACUUAUUUUCUACUUGUAAAAAAAAAAAAAAAAGCUUUUAAUGUACUUUAGCUUAAGGGAAUUAAGGGGAGCUAUUAACCCUUCCAUAAGCCCGACGAUGAAUAUCUCGAAUUGUUCUCUUUUGGAUCCGCCGUCUAAGUAGACGACCAAAACUGAUCAUUGCAAACGAGAAAACUUUAGCUCUCCGCCGUUUAAGUGGCGAUUCCUUAUUAGACUUGGCAAAGUAAAUGACCAAAUCUAUGAGUUCAAUACAACAAUUUGAACACUCUUUGUUAAUGUGUAGUUGUAAACCCACAAGAGGAGCCUGUGGUUUGACAAGAUCAUGGUUCGACUCUUGCCUUGGUGAGCUAGGGAAUUUUCUUUCCACCAGGCCGUUUGCCCUUAAACCUGCGGGCUCGCAUCCUAUAAUGGAGGACGCCUCGAAGG